CUCACGUGACGGUGGAACUUCUCUUCUUUAAAAGGUACGGCUUGAGUAAAGGCACCGUGUCGUAAGAUUUUUGGCUUUUCAUUGUCUAUUGCCUGCAAAAAUAUUUAAAAAAGAAGAGAAUUGUUUAUUAUUAGCUAUACAUUUUUCAAAUCUAUAUAAUUCUAACUAUUAUUUUAAAAAUAUUGAUAACAAUAUUUUAAAUCAAUAACAUCAAUGUGAACACUCAUAUCCUCAAAUUAUAAUUAGUUACAACUAGAAACAACCUGUAGUAGCAGUAAGAGCCAUUUAGUAGUGUGUCCUGUUGCACCGCAAUCACAACAGCUCUCCAUCCAAAAUGGAAACAAAGUAGAAUUUUGGCUAUUUUUAUUAUUUGUAAGAAAGUCUAUAAAUCAGGUCCUGCACGGCAUACAAAAACUGUAUUGUAAUUCUCCUACAUUGGCAGUCUGUUCACACUUAAUGCUCUAUGGGACCACAUGUACUACCUACUUUAAAGGGACACUAUAGGCACCCUGACCACUUCAGCUCAUUGAAGUGGUCUGAGUGAGGUGUCCCUAUUACCAUUAGUGCUGCAAUGUCAAUAAUUGCAGUUAUAGAGAAACUGUAAUGUUCACAUUGCAGCACUAAGUCUGCCUCCAGUGGUUGUCUACCAGACAGCCACUGGAAGUGCUUGCUACAUCGUAAUGGGUCUGUGGUCCAAUAUCUGAUGCUGGACAAACUUAUGUUCUGCUUAAGGACAUCCAGCAUCAGAUUUUUCCCCAUGGGAAAGCAUUGAUUCAAUGCUUUCCUAUGGGUAGGUCUAAUACAUGUGGCGGGAUGUCGGAAAAGGUGGAACUGCGACCCAUCGCUGAGGGACAUUCGCGCUGGAAUCAUGUAAGUAAAUUAAGGGUUUUUAACCCUUUAUUCAUAUCGGUGGGGGGAGGGGUGUGAGGGAGGAGGGAGUCAGGGGCACAGGAAUACAGUUUUGUAUUUAUAGUAUCCCUUUAAGGGAAUUGGGAAUUGUAUAAACUUAAUUUUGGCCUACCAAUUGCACAGCUGUUGUCUGCUUACCAUAACUUACACAUAGGUCAAAUUUUACUAUUAAUGGGUCCCUGGGUAAUCAAGUGAUCAAGCCUUGCCCCACAAAAUGAGGAUCUAGUUUUAGUUUGUCAUUUUCUCAAUUUUAGUACAAUCUAAUAGCUAACUAAGCAUUAGAUACCGGUUGUGCUAAAGUUAUUUUAUUUUCAUUUACAUGCUUUGCCUGAUAAAAUAUGAAAAUGUGUUAACUCCAGCGGCAUGUGUUUAAUUUAGUAUAUCAGCCACUGUGUUUUAAAUGUUAUUGGCAUAUUAGAAGCAAGUGAGAUUUUGAUGAACUCUAUGUGUGAAAGGGCUUGGAACCUAUAUGAAGAAACCUGUUAUACAUGACCUACAGAGGGAGUUGUCGAGAUCUAGAAUCUUCAGGAAGAUGUUUAUUUCACAUUACCUUGCAGUAUAUGUCAUGUUAUCCGAAUAACAGCAUUUUUGUUAUUUAAAACUGCACUAGUGCAGUAUGUGUGAUAUGAGACAUCCACAAACUCCCAUUCCAUGUCAAUUACUAUAUUUUAGACAGGGGCUGCUCCUAAGGGAUACGCAACCUAUCUUAGCCUCUCAACCAAAUGUAGUCGUAGCACAGGCUACCCUACUGUGCUCAUGCAGGCAUGGUACAUAUAUUGCCAAAUGCAUAAUAGUCUGCUAUCCCUACUCUACAAGCAGUAUGAAAAAUAACAAAAUCACUAUACCAUCUGAUGUAUUAUAUCAUUAAAUGUCUUUUAACAUAAGCACACAUCUAAUGGUAUUCAUUUACCAAAAGAAAAUAUUUAAAAUAGACUUAACCCUAAAGGUAUAUUUCCUGAUACCACAUUGAUGUCUCAAAUUACAUACACUAUAUUAUCACUUAAUUAAAUUGUCAUAGGAUGCGUUUAGCGAAUUAUAAUUUCAUGCAUAUUGCAUAUAGGGGGUUCAUGCACUAAAAAUCCAAGUGAAUCGCUAACUGAAUUUGCUAAAUCAAGGAGAAAAAAGUUGAUUUGGACAAAAAUGUAUAUUCCAGACUAGGUAUUAUUUUACCCAAAUGUAGCAUUUGUCCUUACAAAGUACUGUUUAGUGAAUAACUCCAAAAACUAUUGUUAUAAAAAAUGUAAAAAUACAAAAUACACUUUUUUUUAAAGAAAAUGUUAGACAUUAUAUGUUGUUUUGCCUGUGUUUGAUGUCACAGCAUCCAAAUAAUUGUUUACCCUUUAGAAAUACUUGGGAAUCGCAUUAAACGUGGGUUAAAUGAUGGGGGAAUGAGUCUUUGAGGAAUAGCCUAAAAAAAUGCCAAACAUGAAAAUACCAAGGGAUAUCAAAACUAGUCAACACAAGUAAAAGAGUGGAAGCAGGUGUACAGGAAAUGCUGAACACUACAGGCCCUGUAGGGGGAAUAGCUCCGUAUGGACCAAAAGCUUAGACGUGUAAGGCUGAACAAGACUGAAAAUUCAUUCAGAGAUGUAUUGGGAUUCAAGCUGGAAAAAUCAACAAAAAUGAAUUCUCUUUGGAAAACAGCAGCGAUUCAGCUUUUUUUUUUUUACAUAUGUAUGUCAACACGCUGGGAGAUGAAAUUCGCCUUUAGGUAUUUCCAACUAUCAGAAAGUGUUACAAAAACUGCUAACUUUCCAGAGAUUGCAUCCAGGAACAAAUAACAAUGUGAAUCAAUACUCAAAAGGCACAGACUGAUCAGCCUACCAUAGAGGUUUUACUGAAUAAUGUUGUAUCCUUUUGCCCAGUUGAAUUUAUUUAUAGCAAACAAAAAAAAGUUGGAAAAUUAUAUCUUUUGAAUCAGAUACAUCUUUUAAACAAAGUAAAAGAACCUCUCGUUUAUGUAAAAGCAAUAUUUUUCUACAUUUUUUUUUUGAUAGUGAUACAGAUAAUACUAAUUUUCCAACCUGACAGUUAUAAAUAACAAUAGGUUAUUUUAAAAGGUUUUAUGUAGGUGUUAGAAGUGCACUCAACCCUUCGUCAUGGAAUUCAGGGUGCUCUAACGGAUAAGUCCCAGUACUAAAAAGGACCAAAUUAUAGAAUUUCAGUGUAGAAAAUAAUCCAGGAACUCCAACGAAUUCCAAAGAAAAGGCAGUUUUAUUAGAACCAGGAAUCAGAAAGCAACGUUACGACCCCUUAGGGCCUUUGUCAAGCUUAGGGUUGAAACGUUGCUUUCUGGUCCCUGGUUCCAAUAAAACUGCCUUUUCUUUGGAAUUCGUUGGAGUGCCUGGAUUAUAAGAGGUUUUGUCCAGAAUGUAGAAUGUUUAAGAUUUCAAGACUAAAGAGAAGUCUGAUGUUAGCUAAAUCCAAUGUUUACCUUCUCAUAGUCUAAGGUUAUUUCAAUCUGACAUCCCACUUUAGUUCCUGAAAUAGUUGUUUUAGUUUUUUUACAAAUUUUUAAAAAUAUUUUUAUAGAAGAUCUUUGUUGUGAUGGAAUUAAUCCAUCGUUGGCCUUAAGGGGUCAAACAUGAAGUUCAACAGAUGGUCUCCUCAAGAGUCACAUAUACAAUAUGAAAAAAUACAAAAACAAUACACAAGUACUACUAAAUUUGAAAAAUAGAUGUUCAGAAAUAUUUACCAUUUUAUUUCUGCUACUAAAUUUGCACUGCACAUUUUUUUUUUUUUUUUACAAAAGCAACAUUGCUUUACAGCUAUAUAGAUUUUCAACAGUUAAAGAAUAAAUCAGAUUUUUUUACACAAUGUUCAUUCCAAUUCUAAUUGUGGCUGUUAAUACAUUUUCCCUUACAUUUCAUUAAUUAAAAAGACGCUAAGGGAAACAUUUACUCAUAAAAUGCAAAAAUGUCUAGACAACAAAUUAUUACUACGCUUAACACACCUAGUAAUUUAUCAUUGCAACAGCAAUUUGUAAGUUAAUUUAAUCACAAAUAAAUUCACAAAUUAUAACUAUUUUAGAACUAAUCACACGUUGAAAAAAAACAAAAAAACAGCGAGACAUGCAAACUUCAUUCACAACUUAUCACUAUAGCUCAAUUAAAUUCUCUGUUUUGGGUGUUAAAACACAUAUAAAACAUGUUAGAGAUAACAUUCAGUAUUGCAGUUUUUCUUCAUACAUGCUCCUUUUACCAAUUAUUUUCUUUCCAUUCUAGCUGCCUUUAUUUUCCUCAUUGCUUCUUCAACACAUUAUGUAACCUGGGUUACUAUUUUUCUAAAUGCCAUUUAAAAAAAAAAAAUAUAUAUUGAUGUUGGUGAAAAUAUAAUGGAGUGACCGUGUCACCAGAACAGCUUGUUCUAUAUUCUUUUUAAGAAGUGCAGCCAGAGGAAAUAUUACCUCGGUAAGCUUUAGGUGCGUAACAAGCUGGAAGGGGAUCGGUGAAAGUUAUGGUGUCAUUUAUUAAGGUAUAAUGAAGUAAUAAAUAAGUCUGAACUGCAAUAUCUGGACACUGUUCACACUAUUUAACAAUGUCCGAAUUUUGUAAAUAGUGGAAAAUAUAAUAAAUAAAUAAAUACAUAAAAAGCCUCUGGGGAUGGGACAUGUGAAAAAAAAUGGGUGGUAGGCAUAAAAAGAGUGCUCUGAAAGGUAAGUCUCCAGAGAGGUUUUACUAGCCAACCCAGAAGAGUGCUUCUACUGAUAUUGCAUAGCGUGAGAAAUAUUGACAUGUGAUGUAAUAGCUAAAAUGCCUGGGAAAGACAGCUGCAAAUACUACUUAAAAUUAUCGUUCACUGGCUCAUUUGUGAAUGUGCAUCCUGCUAGAUUCAUUUGGUCCCAAUUUAUUUUAAAAUCAGUGCUUUUUUAAUCUUCUGAAUCCUAUAUUUUGUAUAGAGUUCGGUUGUGAAAGCACUACGUUCAGACUAGACACCCAAUGCAUACAGGCAAUUGCUGCAGCUUCCUUCGGGUCAUCCAAAUUCCAAACAUAUUUGAUGUUAGUAAAUAUUGGAAGUCGUAAUUUUUACCAGGUUUUGUCACAUUUUCACCAGGUUUUGUGACAAAAUCCGGUAUUUAGUGAAAAACCUUGAUAGUGUACAAAUAUGGCACAUGGUUAAACUUUUUGAGGUGAGAAGGUCCGUCUGAGAGUGGCGCCAUGUCUGGUCUUGUGGCUGACCGAGGGGCGCAAAAAUAAGAAGUGCAGACCGGAUAGGCCAGUGGUCGUCGGAGGCCUAUGCGGCCUGCACUUCUUAUUUUUGCGCCCCAUACCACGGAGACUCGAUCGCUCACACUAGGGCAUUUGUGGCUGUACGUUUUUGGGUACUUUGUCCAAUAAUUGUGCUAGUCGGCUCGGAGCUCCCCAGAAACACAUCCAGAGAGUAUGGCUGCCGGCUCCACCCCCUCAGUCGAUCUUUUAAAAAUCACCACUAUGGAAAAUGAAGAAGUCCCCAUAUUGUUUUCUUUAUUCUAAUAAUCUGCAGAGUACCUUGUUCAGCUCUUACAUACAUUCUUUCAAAGGAGAUUUGAAUACCACAGUGUGUUAUUUUAUUCAUGCUUAAGUUCCUGCUUUAAAUAUAUUUUCUAUUUUUUUUAUUUUUUUUUAUUGAGUCACCAAAAGAUAUAAUUAAACACUGUUAGAAGUUAUCACCACACUUGCUCAUCGAGUAUGUCUUCAUAAUAUUUAUGCAAGCUAAAAUGAUCAAAACAUAGCUUUAAAAAAAUGCAAAUAUAAAGCUGUAAAUCUGUAAAUACAACCUUACUUUAUUAUUUUUAAGAGCUCAUAUGAUUCAUCCUCACAUGAGCUCUUAACUAGUACUUUUAACACUUUCAGAACUCAUCACAUAACAGGACAGGAUGAUAACGAGCCAAUUCCCGGAAGGUGUUAAAUCGUACUCCAAAACUAAUUUGAUUUUUUUUCUAUAUAGAUGACUAUUUAGAUUGAAUUAAUCACAGGAUGUACAUCCCCAUUAUGCCAUAAACAGUCAAUAAAGUGGUCUUAUCUUGGUCAGCAUAGAUUGAUUGAAAUUACAGCGUAUCUCGUCAUCUCAUCAAGCGGUUGUUGCAGUUGUUGCUGUACUUUUCUGAUAGCAACAUGGUCAGGAAAGAAAGAUUAUUUACCCAAUUUAUUGCCCUCAUUACAACAAAAAAUACAAUUAAAACAUGUUUCCCAUUGAUUGUGUGUCUUCUUGUAUAUUUUUGUGGUUUUCAUAUUUGUUUGCUUACUUGUUGUUUUAUCAUGUUCCGGGCGACUUUCAAUCCUGCCUACAAUUACAAUCCUGGCCGUUUAUUAUCAACCAGAAAUGUUGUUGUAUGUAAAAUGAUUAGGGGAUGACGCUUUUCAAUAAAACGCUAGUUUAGGGCCAUUGAUAUCAGUAUUUGAUUUAAAAGCACAAUGUCUGGAGACACUCACCAUAGUCAAGUGAAUUGUCUUCCUAUCUAUUUGAAGGAGAAAUUAGUACUUUUUGAUCUAAGACACCAAAGUUAUUAUUUUUAUUUCCGAGCCCAGUUUAGUGCUUAAUGAACACAUCACACUAUUUUAUUUUGUCAAUCUUUCUUUUAUUGAGGCUGCAAGUGAUAACAUACAGAAAAAAGAAACAGAGUUAAUGCAUACGGUUGCAAAACAGAGUUACAGAUACAUGCACAUAGUAAUAAGCCCGGGAGCCCGGAGGGACCAAGUCCUGCCUCUUAAUAGGGGAGCGUAGGGUCUUGAUGGUAGCUCGCUGGCGGUGGAGUAAGAUCCUCCACUGUCAUGGAUGAUGCUGCAGGGUUUUGCCCUGUGUGGCCCUCGGCCUCAGCAGGCUAGUAGUCGUGGGUAUGUUCGCCGGGGUAUGCUUGAUGCCUUUAAGAGGGUCUCCCCUCCUCUGGAUCCCCCUCUCUCGGCUCUCCUCACUAAAGUGUAAUAGUGUGGUUGUCUGACAGACCUCCAGAGAGGCCCAGAAGUUCUUAAGGAAUUCUUCCAGUCUUCGCUAAGCCUGUUCUGUGGGCUGACUUGUGUCAGUUCGCAGCUGUGUUCAUUCGAGUUGGGGAUAGUCGCCAUCUUGCAUGUUGCAGCUGUAGCUCACACAAAGUCGGGGCAGCCGCCGAGAUUUACAGCCUUGUGGAUUGCAAGCCAGUGGGGACUGCGAUAUCCCCCAUGGUCCAAAGGGGGUGGAACAAGACUGCCAGGUAAGCUUCUGAGAGCACAGGUUCUCACCCGGCGGGAGAUUGGCCGCUUCACCCGCCAGGCCCUUCACCAGGCCUUGUCACGAUCUCUACCAAAGUAAUCCAGUGAAGUCACACCAAUGGGUCAGGGGCACCCCUGCAGGUUCCAGACAUGGGUGAGUCUCAGAUAUGGGCGCUAGUGCAGGCUGGUAGUGUAAUAGUCCGUUAUUAUUAGAGAUCGAGCUCGGAGCCCUCACGUUGCACAUCCAGUCGCCAUGAGGCUCAGACCCUGGCCCCCACAUCACACUUUUUUAACUCAUGCAGCACAAGCUAGGAAUAGUUACACAUACCACACCACUAAAUGUAAAUAGGUUGCAUUAAAAAUGCAUGCUAAUGUUCAUAUUUUGUGCUGGAUUCAGUGGAAAGCUAUAAUAGCAGUCUCUUUAAUGCAGACUCUAUUCCACCUCAUCUGCAGUUGAAAAAUCUGUGCUGGAUUUUAAGAACCACAAUUUGAGCUUUAAGGGACAGUACAAUCACCAGAACAACUACAGCUUAAUCUAGUUAUUAUGGUGUCUAUUGGCUGUCCCUGCAGGUUUGAUUGGGGUGGGCGAUCCAAGACGGACCCGCGCGUCGCUGGAAAAAAGGUGAGCAAAAUUACCUUUUAAGUUUCUGAAAGGGGCCGGUCACCUAAACGGCAAUCUUAGAGCUAUAGUGUCAGGAAUACAUGUUUGUAUUCCUGACACUAUAGUGUUGCUUUAAUUAAGCAAAUUUAGUGUACAGAUAUUGCCCUUGCAGUCUCACUAACAAAUUCUCUGCCAUUUAGGAGUUAAAUCACUUUUGUUUCUGUGUAUGCAGCCCUAUUCACACGUUCAUUUUCAAACAGAUGUUAACUUGCUUUAGAAGUGUUGUCUCCUGCUCUGUAAAUUGAACUUUACACACACACACACACAUGGGUUAAAUUAAAUUAAAUAAAUGGAUUUACAGUAUAUUGAGCUAAUAUUUAGCUCCAAAUUAGUACGCCUGGGUGGUAUUGUACCCGUCUAUGAAUAUAUGAUAACUGUAAGAGAAACAGGAAAUAUCAAUAUAGUGUAGUAUUGUAGGUAUACUGAGUGGAGUGGAGAUAUGUUUUUAGUAGCCUUCUAGUGAAUAGUGUGGAGUAGAAAUAUUCCCACUUUUAGAUAUAUAGUGGCAAUCCUUACUGUGGUGAUAUGUGAAUUAAAGAUAAAAUAAGAAAAAGAAAAAGAAAGAGAUCAAAUAUAGUGCUCACUGUAUACUUUAAAAGUGGUAAAAUAGUAGGAAAUGUACUCACAAAUAUAGAGCAAAAAUAGUUUCCCUCAGUUUUAAGGGCUUUGGUGGUAUUUUCCCCACCAAGGAAGAUGUCCAGAUCCAUGACAGGAUAAAAUAGGAAGGUCCAAAUAUCAUAAAUAUAUGCUGGUUUUAUUAAAUACAAUUAAUAAAAACAAAUAAAGCAGAGUAAAAAACUACAAUGUGUUAUUUACAGUUGUUAACUGCAGUCUAAAGGGAUGGGUCAUGGUGCAGAUAGCUGCAAACCCCCUUUUUCCUUUUAAGCAAAACUAUUGAGAUUUUAAUGUAGAUAAAACCAAAGUAGGAGUACGGAACAAAAACAAAUCAAAUGUACUUAAGGUGUGUCGGUGCCCUUUUAAGACCUUCUUGUAAAGAGUCAUGUAAGGAAUACCAUGGUUGCAGAAAGUAUAGGCAUAGUUAGUACAUCCUCCAUCUGUAACUGGAGAGUACUAAACCAAAAUAUUAUAUUACAUCUACUAUCACACCAGCUUUAUAAUAUAAUUUACAUUUAGUUCAUCAAAAUUACAAGUUGAUAUGAGUGCCGUGCUCUGUGCGUGCUUAAGGUAAAAAUCAAUGCAUCUAAUCGUAAUACCUGACUGCCAUGAAUCAAACACAGUUUAUGGAGUACAGUCACAGUGCAAUAGGGUAGCUGAAAUGUCAGACAGUAGGAUAACAAGCAGUUAACCUAAAAAAAUGCCCUUACUGUCACCAAAUAUAGCAAUGACUGUCAACACCUGACCUUGUUAGAGUAGCACAUACAUCAAACUUCACUGAGCCACAAAUCAGCAUCAGUUUCUGCUACAGUUACAAAUAAUCAAGCUAUUAAAUGUGUUCAGUACUGGGAACAAGAUGCAAUAUAUCAAAUGUCCAUAUUUUCAUACUCCGCACACACACAUAUAUAUAAAUACAUAUACACAUAUAAUGCCCUCUUUUACUUCAUGUUUUGUCCUUAUGUAUGAUCGUAAUCAUUAACACAACCUAAUCAUCGUUAAUUCACAAUACGAGGAGCUAAUGAGCCAAGUCUCAUUGAGGGUCCUCUUAAGUUUCUGGACUACUCCUGAGGGUCCUCUUAAGUUGCCUGGACUACUCCUGAAACUCUUCCCAGGGCAUGGUUUUUUAGGUCAGUUCUGGAAAAAAAGGACUAGCUGCUUUUAGGAAAAAGCAUUAAUCAUGGAGCCUAUCAAUGUUUGUCUGGACUCAAAUACCCAUUUUAAAAAGCAUGUUGCUUCAAUGUUUGUCCUAGUAUGGAGUGUCUCCAUUGCAGCUCUAAUGAUGGUCUUAAUUUAGUCAAGUUUUCAGAUGAUUUAAUACUGUUAGGAAAACUUUUUGAAUUAUUUAACUACAGAAGUGACUAUUAAAGUCUAUUGAGAUUUUUGUGGAUAAAUAAUUUGGAAAGCUUUUACAACAGUAUUGAAUCAUUUGAAAUUCUUAUUACAUUGAGGCCUUUGUCUCAUAUUCUCUAUGCUUUGCCACUCCACUGAAGUCAACUGAGCUCCCACCAACUGUUUCUGACUUAUCUAGGCAAUUUUGACUUGGUAAUCUAAUUGUCCUUUGUUUUAAUACGGACAUAAUUCUUCUCUGAGAUACUAACAAAAGUUAAGUAAAAUAUGUGAACACAUGUACAAUGGUCACCAAGAUUGUACCUAUCUUUUGGAAAUCCCUCCCCUGGACUACCUGACUUGGGGGUUCAAGAUUUGGUUUUUGAUAGUCUCUGAUUGAACUGUAAAUAAUAUUUUAUUUUUGCUACUGGACAAUACUUUGAACGGUUCUAAACUUGUGUAGUAGUUUAACAGUCAAACUAUUCCAUGAAUUACCAUCUACACCUUACACUACAUCAUGAAGAUAAGGGAUGAAAUCUCUAUUAUAUUGCUAAAUCAAACGCCUACAUAAACAUUGUAAUAUACACAUGCAUCGUUACAUAAAAAUAGCAGGUGAAUACUGGACACUAACUAUUACACCGGGACAUAGAUUUUAAAAGUAUUCAAUACCUAAAGGAUAGAAUUGGUUGACCAAUGCCACUUGUGAGUAGAGUUGGUACUUGAAAAUAACUUUAUGCUGGCUUUUUUGUGGACCCAUGAAUAUCAAAUGAGCUCACAAUCUCAUCCAAAAUGGUAUUCUCAAUUUACCCUUACUCUGGAUAUAUUGUAAUCAGUAGAGUAUAUUUAAGUAACAUAUAAUCAGAACAAUGGUGUUAUGUUCGUGAGUACAUUCUGCCAUCUGUGUGAAGGAGUAGAAUUUGCCACCAUUUUGCCAACUCGUUUGUUUGAAUAAAGUAAAUGUAUAAAAGAUGUUAGUGACAUAGAGAGAUAAAAAAUAUUCUAGAAUUAGUCGUGGCGAUGCAUGCAACAAUAUAAAAUAGGAUAAAAAUAUGCAAAGGCAACUGAAAAGAUUGAAAAAAGCAUGCCUCUCUCGAUUUAACCUCCAUAUUUCAUAUAUCACACAGCACUCCAGCACUUCAUAUAUAUGCACAGCACUCCUCUCCUGACGGUCAUUUACUGUAGCAUGGCCAAGCGUCAGUACCUCCGCAGCCUGGGGCAGAAGGAGAGGGCGCUCGAGUGAGCUCUGAUCCAGAUCCGCAUUUCCUGUAUAGCUCCCUCGCGUGCCCUGUAGAGGUCCUGGGAGAUGGAAUAUGACUUCAUAUUCCAUCUCCCAGGACCUCUACAGGGUGCGCGAGGGAGCUAUACAGGAAAUGCGGAUCUGGGUCAGAGCUCACUCAGAGGAGCACUGCAUCAGCCCACUGGACCCCAGGCUGUGGAUCCACUUCAGGUCUCCAAAAGAUAGGGAGACUGGGUGGAUCAAAAAAAAGUGUGUGUGUGUGUUACAAUACUGCCCCUGUUCCCUUACCCCUACAAUUCUUCCCUACCCCCCAUACUGUUCCUGUCCCACCAGUACCCCACAAUGCUGCCCUUAUCCCUCUUUCCCCCGCAAAAGCCCCAGUCCCCCAUAAUGCUGGCCUGUCCCUCAAAACUGUUCCAAUCCCCCCCAACCAUAGCCCCAUUCCCCCCACAAUGCUGCUCUACCUCCCACAAUACUGCUCCUGCCCCCACUGCUCCUGCCCCCCUUACUUUUCCUAACCCCCAACAUAGCCACAGUCCCCCACAAUACUGCCCCUGCCCCCCCACUUAAGCUCCAAACCCCACAAUACUGUUCCGAUCCCCCCACCAUAGCUCCCGAUCCCUCAUUACUGUUCCUAUAUCCCACCCACCAAAGACUCAAUCCCCCACAAUACUGUUCCUAUCCCUUUACUAAUGCCCCUGUCCCACACAAUACUGUCCAUAUCCCACCACUCUAAAGCCCCAUUCCCCACAAUACUGUUCCUAACCCUACCACUAACGCCCCCAUCCCCUAUAAUACAGAAUCAAUCUGCGACAAUGCAGCCCCUGCCCCCAUCACAAUAAGGCUCCAAUCCCCCACAAUACUGCCCCUAUUCCCCUCUCGCUAAAGUCCCUAUCCCCCCACAAUACUGCCUCUAUUCCCCAAUACUACUCCUAUCUCCCCUUGACUAAAGCCCUAAUCCCACACACACACAGUACUAAAGCCCUAUUGUACAGCGCUACAGAAUUUAUUGGCGCUAUAAUAAUAAUAAAGUCCCUAUCCCACACAAUUCUGUUCCUAUCCCCCACACUAAAGCACAGUGACACAGAAAGGGGCUGGUGGGUAAUUAAGAGACACAGGGGGUGUAUGACACUAAAGGGGGAUAUAAUAAACUAAAGGGGGUGUAACACACACAGGGAUAACACAUUUAAGAAGGGAUAUGUAACACUAAAGGGGGUAAGAAAUUCAAAAGUUGGGUUACGAGGCACACAGGUAAAAAUAUAUUUAUUUUGGGGGCGGGAGGUGGGGCGGAAAAAUACAUAUUCGCCUCUUUGCACCGGCCCUGGCUCUCAGUAUCAUCAUGAUGUGCUAAAAUUGAAGGACUUAAAUAAGGAAGUGCUUCUAGCAGUUGUAGAUCUGACUAGAGGCAUGGUUUAAGCAAAAUGUAAAACAAUUGCUGUUACUCUAGAAUGGCAGUAUUUUAUAUUAACAGAAAAAGGGGACAUGGUAUAUGCACCAAAACCACUUCAUAAAGAUAUUUCCCCCCUUUUGUUUGUUAAAUGUAGAAAACGUAGCUUCUUUAGUUGUUUGUUUACUCUGUAUGCAUAUAUCCUUUUUAUGCAUACGGACACAAAUCAUUUUGCAACGUAACACUAUUAUAUGGUUCUGUUGAAUAGAGUAAUGCUUUAUAGAUAAACGACAAUGAAAAAACUAACUAAUAAUAAUAAUGGAUUUUUUGACAUUUUAAGAAUCCAAAAAAAAUGUGAUUAGUUUAUUGUUAUAGACAUAAAUCUUAAAAUACAGCUGACAAAAUUCAGGUUUAGUUUUUCUGACUUGUGCUUGUUUUUAAUAGAUAUUAUAUACACCAAAAGUCUAAAAUACUUUUUUUUUCCUAGAAAACAAAAACUGUUUGUGUGUGUUUGCCUAUUGCAUUUCAUAAAUAUACUAACUUAUUAAGUUCCCAUAUUGAAAUGUUGCAACUACGAGCCAUUGUUCAGUGAGACGGCUGUCUCAUGAAUUAUUUUCUCUCAUUGUUUGUGCAUAUGUCUUUUUCAUUUGUCAUCAGUGUUGGCACUAACUGUCUUGUGGAGACCAUGUUCAUGGAACCGUUACUUCUGAGGCAGAUGCUAAGAACACUAUGUAACAGUAAAAAAAUGCAUUAUUGCUCUGAAAGCAUUGUUUCCCAAUCCUCAUAGAGAAUUUUGACCUUUCUGUCUACCUCUCGGCAAGAUUAUCUGGACACAUACAAGAGAGGAACAGCAGGAACUGAAUUCUUAUAUGUCUGCUUUUUUAUUGUUUGUCAGAAAUAAACGGCAGGCCUUUUUUUUUUGUUUGUUUUUUUUCCAAUGGCUUGGAUAUGUGUGUGUCUUUUUUUUUUUCUUCGUUUUCCUACAGGCCUUUUUUUUUUAACAACUUUUUCUAUACUUUUGUUAGAAACAGCAGGAGGUCACCUAUUCAGGGUCCUCUUAUAAUGUGGAAAUUAGGAUGCUAAACAUUGACAGUGGCCUCCUGAAUCCUCAAUGCACAUUUUUGUUUUCGAGACACACGCAUUUGAUGAAUCACAAAAGAAGACCCCGUGACAACUGCAAAAGAUUGACCUUGGGCAUUUUGAACCUACAGAUAAAAGUUAAAAUAAUCCAAUGUUUUCUUUAAAAAAAUACAUGAUGGUAUUUCUUUAACAUAAGAAUGCAGAAGCACAAAUUGAACAUUUUUUUUUAUAUAUAAGCUGUGAUGCAUAGACGCCCCCAUCACCCCAAUGCUAAAUCCAUAAGCCAUGCCUGGUUUAACACAAAUUGCAUGCUCAGAAUUCAUAAGAAUUUCUUGCGGACAGGAAACUAUUUAUCCUCAUUUCUUUUGGAAAGGUUGGCAUAUUGUUGUUAUAUUCUGACUGUACAGCAUGACUAGUCACAAUGGAUUGGUCUGCUCUACUCAACCUUUGUCCAAUGUGGGUUUUAGCAAUAGAAUGCACCGUGCUAUAUCAAAAUAAAUUACAACUGCGCUUACAAUGAUGAGGGCCACAUCUGUAAAGCAACGUCCAAUCUGGAGCUCUGAUUACUGUGCUCAGUUGACUGUAUUAUACGCAAUCUUCUGUAUUACUCUGUCUUCGGGGGUUAUGCUGUGUUUUCAAAAAAUAUAUUUUUAUUCUAUACACUGCAUGCGUCUAAAUAGAAAAUUAAACGUACUGUAUGUGCAUGGUGUAAGAAUCUGAUAUACCUUGCAGAAUUUGAGAUACAAGCAUGUCACCGAAUUUUAAUUAAUAAGAGCACACAGUUGAAUAGACAGAGAUUGCGCGUCAGAACUUACGGAAAGGGUUAAUACAUAAAGCGUUAAAAGCAUCUUUUAUUUUUUGGUAACAUGCAAAAAAAAAAAAAAAAGAAAGAAUAAAUAAUAGCCUAACAUUUUAAUAAAUAAUCACAUUCAUUUGGCUCAACAAGGAUUAGUUAUUCAAUUAGAAUUAACUUUGUUACUAGGAAAUGGACCUAUCAAGUAUACAAUUAUUGGAUGUGGGCUCAUUUUUUCAGUCACCUGGAAACUAAUUAGCAAGAUAUAAUCACAUACUUGCUGUCUGGUAAACAUACAAGUCCCCAAGGACUGAAUGACUUGAGUUGUGAAUCGCUAGCCACUGCUUAUAUGUAAUUAUCAUAUAAAUGAAGUGCUUUGCAUUGUGUUCUGAUACCCUAAUUCUCAUCAGAGGCAAUGAUAUGACACCAACUAUGAAUAAUUGCGAGAUUGCAAUUUUAUGAAUGUUAAAUGAAUCCAAAAACUAGCAUUCUUACGUAAAAAAGAAAAGGGUUAAAGAUCUAGUAAUUGUGAUUUUUCCAAAUCUUAUAAAACUUAAAGUUGUAUAAAGAACACUUUUUUUCUCCUAAGCCACAAAACAGAGUUGCACAGUAAACAUGCAUAACGACAAUAAUACAGGCUAUAGACAAAGCAACGCCUAGGGAAAUGUACUUUGCUUUCGUGAUAAUCGGAAUUAAAUAACUAUCUUCAACUUAGCUUCAGCAAAAUAGGGCUACUAAUUGCAUUUGUCAAUAAUGUUUCCCUUCACUCAAUAGACUGAGCACAAAUUAGGUGAACUUAUAGAAGCGGAAAAAAUUGAAAACGUCACAAAGGAUUUUCGAUGUCACAGUGCUUCCCAAACUGGCAAAUGCAAACAUUUACAUCGCAAGUCUCUAACGGAAUGUAUAACUAAAAAGAGCCAGAAAAGUAAUCAAACAGAAAACAGCAACUGCGAUUCACAUACCUUUUGUGACUCGGAAAAUUUGUGCAUCUUCUGUUAAAAAGAUGAGUUCCAAAACGAGAAUUAAAAAUCCAACGUGCUACUGAGUUGCUGAUGCACUCGUUUAUUUCUCUUAGUGUACAAACUACUGGGCAGUAAACCUAACAACCCAGUUUAAACACUGUUUCUCACACAGCAGAUUACUUAACUGUUAGAGAGGAGUAGUUUGAUAAGGUGUGGCUGCCUUACAAAAGGCAUCGCUGAAUUACAAACAGAAUUACUUGUCAAACAACAACAAAGUUGUCAAUAGCUUUGCAGCUUUUAGCUUUGUAAAAGGUUUUAUAGCCAGGCUUUUUUUGAAUAGAUGUCACAGAGUCGAUGACGAUUUCUUCCUUGUUCUGUGAUUACGUAGUUUCCAAAAUUGUUGAUCUUUUCUGACAGUUAGCAUGCAAACGCAACACUAAAAACUAUAAGAGAAGACUGCAAUAAAACCAGCAGUCAUGAAAAAAAUAAUUCUGCUAGAAAUUUUUUUUUAGUCAUUCACCUUCUGAUUUUUAUGCUAUUUAAAAAAAAAUAAAAAAAAAUAUAUAUAUAUAUAUAUAUAUAUAUUUUGGUUAAAACAAAAUUUCAUCUAGUGAACUAAAUUUAUGUUUUUACAAUUUUAUGUAGUUUUACUUUGUGAAUUACAUUAAUAUAUAUAUAGGUUUUUAAAAAAAAAAUUAAAUACAUUUAAAAAAAAUAAUAAUAAAUAUAUUUUAUAUAUAAUUAUAGUAUAUAUAUAUAUAUAUAUAUAUAUAUAUAUAUAUAUAUAUAUAUAUAUAUAUAUAUAUAUAAUAAGGGCAUAAUACAAAAUAAAAGCCUGAUCGUGUUUCACUAAUUGAUCUAUAUAGAUUAUUUUUUGGAGUAAUGAGAUGAAAUCAGGUGCAAAAAGGAAAAAGUAGACAGAUAACACAGAUUAAUGUUGGGGAAGAUGUGCUCAUAAUUACCAGAAAAGGACAUGAAAGAGAUUUAUAUUGAAUAGUAUUAGAAUAUUAGGAGCCCCAUAUCCAUUUUAUUAAAGUAAAAGCUUUUUUGCUCACUUGCCAAAGUCAUGGCAAACUUCAUUGGUGAAUUCUAUACCAGCAAUGUCCCUUGCUGUUCUGAGCUAAAAGGCAAAAUCUGUAAGAUUCAGGGAUAGUAGACAAACAGAUAGAAUGACAGACUCCAUGGUUAAGUGAAGUUUAGAAUAUUAUUUCCUAUCUCGAGUCUAAAUCAUUCUGACCCUAGAUGCAAUCGUUGGAAUUGCACUACACAAACAUAUGGGGAGUGCAGCCUUUAAAAAUGUUGUGAAUCCUUAAAUUGCCCUUAAAGAUGACUGAACACCACAAAAUUUCAGUUAACUUUAUUUAUGGGUGCCCGGUACCUAACCUUACUCUUACAUCGCACACAGGAACACUGACAAACAUACAUACUGACAUUGUACACACAGGAACACUGAUAAACACAUGCACUGACAUUGUACACACAGCAACACUGAUAUACACAUGCACUGACAUUGCACACACAAGAACAUUGACAUACACGUGCACUGACAUUGUACACACAAGAACACUGACAUACAUGUGCAGUGACAUUGUACACACAGGAACACACAUAUACAUAUUGUGAGCGUAAAAGUGGAAUUGUGGUUGAUGGAAGAUACAUCAGGCCUGAUUUGCUAAACAGCAACCUGAGAAUUUUCAGUUAAACCCAGGGAGAGAUGUUAAAGUUUGCAAUCUACAUUGCUGAUGUUCUGAAAAACAUGGUAUGGGUCCCUGGGGCGGAGUAUUUGGAGAGCAGGGUGAGCCAAUGCUCCAACAGCACUAGUUGCUGUGUAACAGACCACAAUUUGGAUCUGACUUAAGGGUUUACUAAUUGGCACUCACCUGUAGCUAGUCAGUUAGCAGACAGGCCUUUAAAAGAAGAGAUCAGCCUGCUGCAGAGUGAGGGAGACAAAGCCAGCUAGGAGAGCGAACAACACUUGUGUUUAUUGCAAAGCCAUUUCUUUUUUUUUGGAAAAUUGGUAAGUGGGAAAGCCACCCAAUUACAGAUAGUAAUUUCUGUCUAGUAAGAGCUCAAGUAAGAGCAAGGGAUUUUGUUUGUUUGUUAUUAUUUAAAGCACCUGCUUUUUAUCAAAUAAAAAGGAAAACUGAGCUGAAUGUAUCCUGGACUUUGUAUACCCUAGAAGGCUGUGGUUACUGUAAGAUCUGUGACAAUCCUACCGGUAAAAGAGGUGGUUUGUUACAAUAUGUACUGACAUUACACAAACAGAAACAAUGAUAUAUAUAUAUUGACAUUGUACACACAGGAACACUGAUAUACACACAUAAUGACAUUGUAUACACAAAGGAACACUGAUAUACACACUCACAUUGCACAAACGUAAACACUUAUAUCAUACACACAAACAGACAUUGCACACAUAGGAACAAUGAUAUACACGUAUUGACAUUGCACACACAAGAACACUAAUAUACACAUGUACUGACAUUGCACAAAAAGAAACACUGAUAUAUAUACACAUACUGACAUUUCACUCACAGGAACACUGAUAUAUACACAUUUGCUGAUACUGUGCAUGAAGGAACACCAACACCAACUAUUAUUGACAUUGCAUGUAAACAGGGACACCCUAAUAUUGCACAUACACACACAAGAACACCAACAUUUACACAUACUUAUAUUGCAGAUCCCUGAACAUAUGUACAGGUACAUGCUGAUGAUUUUGGUUGGGAAUCAGUUCUAAGUCUCACACGGCACUUGAAAGUCUAAUCUGGCCUUGACGAUAAACAUUUCAGUGUAUUAUGUUGAUGUGUUGAUCCUUUCAACAUGAAUUCAACUAUGGUAUGGUGAGCUUCACAUUAUUAAAUAGGUCGGGGAUCCGAUUUUCCCUGACACGUUAGCUACUUAUAUUACCACGAGGAUGCCCUGCCUACUGGCACAUAUUGUUACAAAUUGUGUUUUUCCAUCCUCUGCCUACUUUACAAUUUUCCAUUUCAUUGGCACAUGGUGCUGCUUAAGAAUAAUUAAAAAAGACAUACCCUUACCGUACCUCUGGCCUUGUAGACUUGUAGCGCUAUAUGUACGAGCAUCGAACUGUUUUACCAUAAAUUUACCUAAAGCUAUAAAACUUGAAAAAGUAAAUCAUUUAGUUAAACUAAGUGAACAUACUCAAACACAGCCGAUCAGCUAGGCUUUCUAUUCAACAUAUGAAAACAAAUAUACUAAAAUAAGGUAAAGAAAUACCAGCCUUAGUUUGGUAAAUAAAAAAGUUGCCUGACCCACCAGCAGCUAUAAAAUAAUCAAUUUUAAAUAUAUAUCUAGUAAGAUAGCAGUAGACACAAACAUGUGUCAUUGACAUUAUUACAUUCAUUUUCCCCAUUUAUUUAAAAAUUUAGCUGCCCAAUGACUGUUAAUAAGAUCACAAAUGGCACAACGCCCACUUCUUGCCAGUGAUCCUAAUAACUUAUUAUACACAUCAUGAAGGAAGAUAUAAAAAAAAACCAUUAUGACAAUCUCUCCAAUGUAAGAAAUGCUAAUAUGCAUCAUCUACAUAUUGAAAAUCAGGUUAAAAAUAGACUUUGCAUAUUCCAAUUAGAAGACUGAUCUUUAUACCACAUUCCUAGAAUUCCAUUUGACUUACAUGCAAAUUAACACACAGUGUGCUACUUUGAAAAAAAUACAUAUUUUUUUGCUUCUUGUAUACAGUUUUAAUAGGAAUCCAUGGUUUGAAAUUCUUAUUCCAUGUAGGGUUAUCACUAAAUUGGAUAAUGUGGAGAAAUGUCUAGGGAAUUGUAUAAUUUAGAUCAAAAUAGCUGUACUAGAAAAAAUGGUAUGGACAAUGUUUCAUGUUCAGUUAUCUUGCUUCCAACUGAUUCCAAUCAAGCUAUUUUGGCUUAGAAUUGUAAUUUCCUGGUCUUGCCCUUCCCAGGUUUGGUAAAUAAUGCUGAUAGUCUAUACAUUAUAUAAGAUCAAUAUAGUCUAUCAACAGACACCUGCUUUGAUCUAUGUCAUUCAUCUUCAUUCACAUAAGAUUUUGCCAAGCAUGCAGUAAAAGUAUUAUGAAUAAAGAAAGUGAUUGAAUGCGAGGAACAUGUUCAAAACAGUAAUUUAAAGGAACAAUACAAGUACCAUAACAACUACAUUAACUGAAGGAGCUGACCAUUCUAGCCAAUGAGCAGUGCCCCUGCCCGUUGGUACUCUGUGCUUCCAAAUGCCUCUGGUGAAAGGAUGAUCCUGUGUUAAGAAAGCACCAGGGACCUCCUGACACCAUAACAACUUCAUUUCAGUGACGUUGUAAUGGUGUUUAAACUGGUCUUUUAAGGAAUGAUGGCCUCAAUUCAAUCAUUUUAGAUAAACUUUUUCUAAUGCAAACAUCCCCAUAGACUUUAAUGGUGACUUCUAUAAUUAAAAGAUUUGGAAAGUCUUUCUAACAGUAUUGAAUCAUUUGGAAAGUUUAUUAAAGUGAGUAAAAAUAUGCAUAAUAUGCAAAUUAGUAGACUUGUGCACAGUGAAAAAAUUCCGAACAACCGAAUCAAUUUAUCCAAAACAAAAAAUUUUGGGGGGUUUUGUCCAUGUGGCAUUGUAGUUUCAACAAAUUUCAUAUAUAUAUAUAUAUAUAUACUGUACGGCUCAAAAGUUUGCAUACCCUGGCAGAAAUUGUGAAAUUUUGGCAUUGGUUUUGAAAAUAUGACUGAUCAUGCAAAAAAUGUAUUUUAUUAUAGAAUAGUGAUAAUAGGAAGACAUUUCUUAUCACAUAGUUGUUUGGCUCAUUUUUAAAUCAUAAUAAUAACAUAAAUCACCCAAAUGUUCCUAAUCAAAAGUUUACAUACCCUUGAAUGUUUGGCCUUGUUACAGACACACAAGGUAACACACAUGGGUUAAAAUGGCAAUUAAAGGUUAAAUUCACACACUCGUGGCUUUUUAAAUUGCAAUUAGUGUCUGUGUAUAAAUAGUCAAUGAGUUUGUUAGCUCUCACGUUGAUGCACUGGGCAGGCUAGAAACUGAGCCAUGGGGAGCAGAAAAGUAUCGUCAAAAGACCUGUGUAACAAGGUAAUGGAACUUUAUAAAGAUGGAAAGGGAUAUGAAAAGAUAUCCAAAGCCUUAAAAAAUGGCAGUCAGUACUGUUCAAACAUUAAUUAAGAGGAGGAAAAUUUGGGCAUCUCUGCAUACAAGCCAGUGUCAGGUAGACCAAGAAAGAUUUAAGCCACAACUGCCAGAAGAAUUGUUUGGGAUACAAAGAAAAGCCCACAGGUAACCUCAGGAGAAAAACAGGCUGCUCUGGAAAAAGAUAGUGUGGUUGUUUCAAAGAGCACAAUACGACGAUACUUGAACAAAACUAAGCUGCAAGGUUGAGUUGCCAGAGAGAAGCCUUUACUUUUACUGCACCAAUGCCACAAAAAAAGCCUGGUUACAAUAUGCCCGAGAACACCUUGACAUGCCUCACAGUUUCUGGCACACUGAAAAUUGGACUGACAAGACCAAAAUAGAGCUUUAUGGUCACAACCAUAAUCACUAUGUUUGGAGAGGGAUCAACAAGGCCUAUAGUGAAAAGGAUGCCACCCCUACUGUGAAGCAUGGUGGUGGCUCACUGAUGUUUUGGGGGGGUGAAAACUCUAAAGGCAUGGGGAAUCUUGUGAAAAUUGAUGGCAAGAUGAAUGCAGCAUGCUAUCAGAAAAUACUGGCAGAAAAUUUGCAUUCUUCUGCAUGAAGGCUGCGCAUGGGACGCUCUUGGACUUUUCAGCAUGACAAUAACCCUAAGCACAAGGCCAAGUUGACCCUUCACAGUCUCGGACCUUAAUAUCAUCGAGCCACUCAGGGGAGCUCAUGCAAGAUGACCAAAAACUUUGCAUGACCUGGAGGCAUGUGGCCAAGACAAUUGGGCAGCUUAACCACCUGCAAGAUUUAGGGGCCUCAUAGACAACUAUUACAAAAGACUGCACGCUGUCAUUAAUGCUAAAGGGGGUAAUACACAGUAUUAAGAACUAAGGUUAUGCAGACUUUGGAACAGGGGUCAUUUCAUUUUUUUUUCUUUCUUGCCCCUAUUAUUUUAAUAGUGUGACGGAUUACUUUUUAUAUGAAGCAUUGAUUUAUGUAUACCUUUAGCGUGCACUACCUGAUUAUUCAACAAUACUAUUUAUAUGUUCUGUACAUUUUUUUAAAAUAUAUUUUAUCUUUUUAUUUUUAAUUUCUUUUUGGUGUAUCUAUUCUUUAUUUUUAGUUUUAUUUUAAUAUACAUUUAUAAUAUAAACACACAUAUGAAGCUCCUUUUUCAUGACCAUACGGAGUUAAUCCCUUUAAGCUAUCAGGUGAUUAAUGGUUAAACUUGCAGUCUGGCUUCUAGAUUCAAGCCAGGUUUUUCUAAUACCUCUUAAGAGAUAGGUAUGUAAGGUAGAGGAUUCAAGCAAGGCUUUUCUAAUACCUCUUAAGAGAUAGGUAUGUAAGGUAGAGGUUACUCUGGUUAUAGAAGCCAUAAGCUUUCCUAAAGACAUGGGUUUUAAGGCACUUUUUAACGAUUGAAGACUAGGGGAGAGUCUGUAUAAGACAGUGGAUUUAUAUAAGACUAGGGGAGAGUCUAUAUAAGACAGUGGAUUUAUUUUUUAAGCAGUCUUGAUAAAGUUCCGUGAGAGGAACGAAACACGUAGAUGUGUUAGCGGUGUUUGCUCCUCCCUUAUACCCUUUUAUCUAGGUUGGUGUGCCGCGCUGAGUUGUGCUGAACUGUGCCGUGCCGAGCAGCGGUCUUUUGUGAAGAUACCGACCACGGCAUCGAUUUCAGCUGUCAUUCUAUCUUGUGUCCCUUAUAACUGAGUUUGGCGUGAACCAACAUUUCGUAGCCACUCAGGCUUCAGUGACUGUUAUAUCCAUUUACUGCAAUGUUUAGCAGCUACCAUAACUAACACUAUCUGGAUUUACAUCUCAGGUGGGGGCCCACACUGAGGUCAGGUACUGAUUUCUUAUUGUUUCAGUUCCGUUGUAUCGAUCCGGGACUUUACUUUCUCGGCACACUUCCUUUUGCAUAUUAUCAUUUUUUUCAUUUUCUCUCUCCCCUUGCUUUGUGUCUUCCUUAACACACAUCUUCAACUGCUCUCUCUCUUCUGGCAUUGUCCCUGCUGACCUUAAACAUGCCAAUGUAGUACCUAUACUGAAAGAAAUAUCUCUUGACCCGUCCUCCCCCUCUAACUAUCGUCCCAUAUCCCUGCUCCCUUUUUCCUCAAAAUUUCUAGAAAGACGUGUCUGUAGCGUUACUUACCUUAACCGGGGGCCGGUCGCGGUCCUCUCUUCAAGCCGCGCGCGGUCCUGCGGCUGCACGAGCCGUGCGCGGCUCAUCCGACUGCUUUAGAUGGAAGGCGGGCAGUGACCGCGUGAAGCGGUCACGUGUCCCGCCUGAAACUAAGAGCGCGCCGUGAGUCUCGGGCGCGCUCUUAAAGAGACAGUGGGAGCCUAAUUGCCAAAAGGCUCCCAUUGGCUCCUGUCAUACCACACUCCCUAUACAAUUACCUUUUGGGGGUGUGGAAGUGACAGGAGCCAAUCACUUUCGUUUAAAAGCUAUUUAAACUUACCUUUUUCCCUUAGCUCGUUGCCCUAUCGUGGUUUCUGUUUCAGUUCCCUUUAGCGCUUGUGGUGUUCAGUUGUGUUUUCUCGUAUUGACUUUGGCUUCGUAUUCUGACUUCGUUUUCGCUUUAUCCUUAUCUGUACUGUUUGCCGGCUUGCUGUUUUCCGUGUACCAGACCCCGGCUUGUCCUAGUUUACGCUGUCUCUCUGUGCCCUUGACCUCGGUUUGUUCCUGGCUCUGUCUCCUCUCAUAUACGUCGAGUCCGGCCAUUCUAAGGUCCGGUAGACGUAUCUCUCCUCUGUAUUGGCUUCUGUUUUGCUGGAUCCUGCGUGUAGGGGUAUAUUCUCGUUACAGUGUCUUUGCCCGUGUGUCUCGCUUCCUCAAUUCCAACUCUCUCCUUGACCCUCUUCAGUCUGGCUUCCACCCUCUCCACUCUACUGAGACUUCUCUCAUUGAAGUUACUAACGACCUAAUUGCAGAUAAAUCCAAAGGACACUACUCCAUACUAAUUCUUCUUGACCUCUCUGACACCGUUGAUCAUGCUCUCCUUCUUCAAACUCUUCAAUCACUUGGUCUCUGAGACUCUGUCCUCUUGUGGUUUUCCUCUUAUCUCUCCAAACACUCAUUCAGUGUCUUCCUUUCUAAUGAUACCUCCUCCCCUCGUCCUGUCUCAGUUGUAGUCCCCCAAGGCUCUGUCCUUGGUCCCCUUCUAUUUUCUCUUUAUACUGCCUCUCUUUGCAAACGUAUUGCCUCUUUUGGAUUUCACUACCACCUGUAUGCUGAUGACACUCAGAUAUAUCUCUCCUCCCCAGACCUCUCCCCUGCCGUCCUGCAACGCAUCACUGCUUGCCUUUCUUCCAUCUCUGACUGUAUGUCCUCCCGUUUUCUGAAACUCAAUCUCUCUAAAACUGAACUCCUUGUCUUUCUUCCUCCUAAUACUGAUCCUCCUCUCUCUCUCCCUUCAAGUUAGUGGUAUCCACAUAAGUCCAUCCUUGCAAGCACGCUGUCUUGGCGUCAUACUUGACUCUGGCCUCACCUUUUAGCCUCACAUCCAGUAUGUUGCCAAAUCCUGUAGAUUCCAACUUAAAAACAUAGCCUGCAUCUGCCCCUGUCUUACGAAAGAUGCUACCAAGGAGCUUGUCCAUGCUAUAGUAAUUUUCUGCAUGGAUUAUUGUAACCCUCUCCUGAUUGGUCUUCCCAAAAGCCGCAUUGCCCCGCUAUAGUCUGUAAUGAAUGCUGCCGCCAGACUGAUUUUCCUCUCUAUCCUUUCACACCUCACCCCUCUGUCAGUCCUUACAUUGGCUUCCUGUAUCCUAUAGGAGUCAAUUCAAAGUGCUAACCCAUACAUACAAAGCACUGAACAAUUCUAGCCCCUCUGAUAUAUCUUCACAGAUCCAUAGGUAUGCCCCUUCUUGGUCUCUCCGCUCUGUCCGUGACCUUCUUCUGUCCACUGCUCGCACCCGUAUGGCCAACUUGCGCUUGCAGGACUUCUCGCAAGCGGCUCCCUUCCUAUGGAAUAGCCUGUCUACCCCCAUCAGACUCUCCCCUUGUCUUCAAUCAUUUAAAAAGUGCCUUAAAACCCAUGUCUUUAGGAAAGCUUAUGGCCAAUCAGUGUAACCUCUACCUUACAUACCUAUCUCUUGCUCUCUCCUAAAAGGGCAGCACAUAUAUAUGAAUAUAUCGGUUACCAAGGUUUUCCCCCAUUUUUUACUUUUUGUAUUAGGGGCCUCAUAGACCACUGUUACAAAAGACUGCACGCUGUCAUUAAUGGUAAAGGGGGCAAUGCACAGUAUUAAGUACCAAGGGUAUGCAGACUUUUGAACAGGCAUCAUUUUAUUUUUUUCUUUGUUGCCAUGUUUUGUUUUAUGAUUGUGCCAUUCUGUUGUAACCUACAGCUUAAUAUGAAUCCCAUAAGAAAUAAAAGAAAUGUGUUUUGCCUACUCAUUCAUGUUUUCUUUAAAAAUGGUACAUAUAUUACCAAUUCUCCAAGAGCAUGCAAACCUUUGAGCACAACUGUAUAUUUAUUUUAAUAUUUAUUUACAGCUUGUUUCCCCCCCUCAAUUAGUCACUUCUUGCUUGAUCUGUGUAUAAAAUAAACACUUAAUGACUGUCAAUCACAUUCCCACCCACCCACCCAUCAAUUAUCUUGUUUUUGGUGCUAGAGAUGAAAUCAACAGAUGAACUCAGUCAAGAAUUUGCAGAUGAACCACCAAUCGCCCAUAAUUCGGGCAAAUCCCAAUUUGUUUGAGACUGAAUGCACAAGUCGACAAAUUAGCAUUUAUAGUAUUUUACUCAAACAUUCCAACUGGCAUUGUUACUGGUUUCCUAAGCAGCAUCCCAGCUCUUACACAGUUGUUUAAAGGUAUGCUCCAGGAUGCAAUAAACCUCCAGUUUUAAUGCAUAAAGGCAAUGGACUAAAAUGAACAAUAACAAGUAUUCAGCUUUAAAGCUCCUCUGAAACAUACACUUACACACACACACACACACACACACACAGAGACACAACUUCCCACUGACAUACACAGAGACACACAGCCACAGAGAAGCACACACAUUUACAGGUUAUCAGAGAUACUAUGAUCGGAGAGAUUCACAUUGACUGUUUAAAACAAACUGAAAAAUACUGCCUAUUGUGAUACAUAGUCAAAUUAUUAUUCAUUUUAAUGGAUAUACUUUGCGAUCAAAGGAUUUUAAAAAGAUCAACAAAUAAAAACAUAAGUGAAUGCAUGUUAAAAAAAAUGUAGUGCAUUUUUCGUUCGGAAAGAGGAACGUUAGAGAACGAAUGCUAACCUCAAUAUUUAUGGCACAGUAGCUCGGAAAGGAAGCAUACUAAAUUACUUUCCACAUUGUAACCACUUCAGUUUCAGGAAAAUUAGCUUUUUAAUUUGAUGAUACGUCUUCAAAUCCAUGCAAAGCUAUUUUCAUGUGGAUGUUUUGAAAACCAGGCAGAUUAAGUAGAAAUCCACACUAAUCUGCAGGAGGGAAUUUUCCUCGGGCUAUAUAAUUGCAGGAUAACUUGUAUCAUGAAUAAAAUUAUGUAAUUUGAAUCAAAUAAUAAAUAUUUCUGUGACAUAUUGGAAGGAAGGUCUAUUAGGAGACAUUAAUCAUAUUCACUGAGCAGCAGCAUUGCAGCAGCCAGCAUAUUAAAAAGCAAGACAAUACAAAACUCUAAAUGUCAAAAGAGGGAGAAAGCAUACACCACAUGGGUACAGAAUAAAAGUGAUUAAAAGUGAUAAAAGUUAACUAAAGUUGUUCACCACUGAGGUAAAAUCAUCACUCUCCCACAGUAAUUUCACAGAAGGUAGUAGGCUUUUUACACCUCAUGAAUGAGCAUAGUGUAACCACAACCACUAAAUCAUGCUGUAGUGGCUAUGGUGCCAAGAGUCCUUUAUUGUCAGGAGUAAAACCAUUGUAGAAUGGUUCUUACCAAGUUCGGCUAAGCGCUGCUUCCUGCCUCUCCUACCUAUCCAGAUAGCUCUGCCUAGGAGUUUUGUUAGAUCUGAGUUAGUCCCUGCACCCCUGGGCUAAGUUCAUACAGAGAGCUUCCAUUUUAAGUCUGUUGACUACUUAUAAUGGAACAGGGCAGCAGGUCACUCCAAGUACAAUAACUACUACAGUGUCUUGUAGUGGUUAUAGAGCUUAGAAUGCUCUUUUUUCACUCUCAACGUACAAGCAGUAGAAAGAGGGAAGUGCUCAUGCCAUUGUACAGAACACUGGUGAGACCUCACUUGGAGUAUUGUACACAGUACUGGAGACCGGCUACUAAACUGGUUCAUGGAUUGCGGGAUAAAACUUACCAGGAAAGGUUAAAGGAUCUUAACAUGUAUAGCUUGGAGGAAAGACGAGACAGGGGGGAUAUGAUAGAAACAUUUAAAUAUAUAAAGGGAAUCAACACCGUAAAGGAGGAGACUAUAUAUUUAAAAGAAGAAAAACUACCACAACAAGAGGACAUAGUCUUAAAUUAGAGGGACAAAGGUUUAAAAAUAAUAUCAGGAAGUAUUACUUUACUGAGAGGGUAGUGGAUACAUGGAAUAGCCUUCCAGCUGAAGUGGUAGAGGUUAACACAGUAGAGGAGUUUAAGCAUGCGUGGGAUAGGCAUAAGGCUAUCCUAACUAUAAGAUAAGACUAGGGACUAAUGAAAGUAUUUAGAAAAUUGGGCAGACUAGAUGGGCCGAAUGGUUCUUAUCUGCCGUCACAUUCUUUGUUUCUAUGUUUCUAUGUACAAACAAAGUAAAAAAGUUCCAUGUGCUCUACAUCAAACUCUAGUACAGUGGUUUGAAGCACCACUAUAGCUAUUGUGAAAAUGUAAGCUCAUUUUACAUUUUGUAAUUUUUUAUUUACAUGGCAAUCUUAGUUGAGUCCUGUACUAAAUUACUCAAGCUACUCUCUCAUAAGACUGAAAUGGGCUUUAUGAAAAAAGUAAAAAUAAACUAUAAACUAAUUAACCAGGGUAGGGCUGACAAGCUAGCCAGGGGACAAUUUCCCCAGGUCGCUAGCACCCAGGAGUUGAAUGUCACAACCUCACAGCACAAUUUAGACUUGGGUGGAGUUGCUGUGGUACUUAGAGUGGCUCAUGAAAAGUAACACAAUAUUGGUGUCCAGAGUGAAAGGAUAUCAUAUAGCGUUAGGACUACAAAUCUGUAUUCCUAAUCCUAUAGUGUACCCUGUCCCUAACAUAUUGGGUUUGCCACACCUGUGAUCAUGAAGGGAGUAAACACCUUUUUUUUUCCCACUUACCGGCUUGGUUUCCUCCUCCGGUGACGUUAAGCCAGUAGGAGAACCUAAUGCGCAUGCAUUAUCAGUGCUUUCCUAUGAUAAGCUUGAAGACUUUAGACUUUCUCAAACAAAGUGUUAGGACAUCCAACGUCGUUUUACGGAGUUAAACUCCUUUUGAGCCCAGGACGUGCCUUUAGGUUGUCUCAACCUGCGAUGCAAACUUUAGGCACUUUACAUAGCAGGGUUAAGGGGAUGUGGGCACUUCAACCAGACCACUUCAAUAGGAUGAAGUGGUCUGGGUGCCUAUAAUGUACCUUUUAAGGAUAUUGAUGAAAUUAGGUUAGAAGAAAAAGUGGAAGAAUGGCAGACUUUGGGUCAUAGGAGUGACUGGAUGUUAUGGGAAUUAUAUAAAAUAGAGUCAAGGAGAAAAGUGAGGAUAUGAGACAAAAACUGAAAGGAUAUGGGGGAGAGAGUGAAGUUAUAUGAGAAAGGAGUGGGAUCCCAAUGACGGAUAAUGAGAGGUUACUAGUAAAAUGGAAUGGAGUGAGAUAAGGAAAAUUAUAUAUAGGGGAAUAAGAGAGUAAUCAAAUAUGUGGAUGUAAUGGGAACACAUUGUAAUCUAAGUGACAAGAGAGAUAGGAAACUAGGAAACAAAGUACAAGGAAACAUGUGAGAUGCAUUGUGGGAAAAAUGAAAGAAUAUAUAGUGAAAGGAACGAUAAAUUAUAAGGUGAAGGUGUGCCCGGCUACAGGGAGAGGAACGGGGAAAUAUGAAGCUUAGGAGUGGAUUUAAAGCCUUAUGUUGAACUUUUUUACAUAUAAUAUAGGUUUUCAUGGGAAUUCAUUUGUCAUAUAGUAAAGGGGAAUGGUAGCAUACAGAACGGAAAGCCUGUCAAGGCCUUUUUGAAUUAUGAAUGCUCAAUGCUCCAUGUCAGAUUCACUAUAUACCAUUUAGCAUGAAAUGACUCAUAGAAAGUGCUUUAGCAGGAAAAUAAAAGAUUGCCUUUAUGCACCUGAGCCUGAGAUUAUUGCAGCAGAGGUAGAUUGUUAAUCAUUAAAAUGUUACACAAGAACAGAUGCCAAACACUGAAAAUAGAUUUAGAUUCCGUAGCGUAUCACAACAUAUAACGACAUGUACGUCCAAAAGAAACACCCAGCAAAUUGGCAGCAGAGGAUCAUUAAAUGAAAAGUCGCUGAUUCCUUUUGUUUUAUUUUGAUAACUAUGGCCACUUGUCUCAGUCAGAUUAAUAUCUGUUUGGAUACCUCAAAUGAUAAUUACUAUAUACUGUACUUAAUCAACUGGCAGCAUUCCUGAAAAUGUUAUAACUUGAAGGGACACUAUACAAAAUACAAUGUUUACAUUGCUGCCUAGGAACACCUUCAGUGGCAGUCACUUAGAAGGUCACUAGAGGUGCUUCCUAGGUCAGUGCUGCACAAUGUGCAACAAUGAUGUUAAGUGCCUCCACGAUAUGCAUGGAGACGCUGAACUUUCCUCAUAGAGAUGCAUUGAUUUAGUUAAUUGCUAUUAUGAGAUGCUGAUUGGCCAGCAUUGUGUUUGUCUCUGCCCCAAGCCCACUUGGCUUAGAUCGUCAAUUCUGAUGAUCUCAACCAAGGAGGCAGAUCUGGGGAGGAUCCAUCACUGGCAGGCCCAUACAGCAGUGAAAUAAAGGUGUGUAGACUACCUUUUUUUUAAAGAAAUACAUGUUGGAAAUAUUAAUCUUUUUUUGUUGAACUUUUUCAUACAUAGCUGGGAUCAACUCAUUAUUGUAUUAUUGAGCAAAGCUCCCUUGCUCGUCUAGGAGAGGUAAAGCGAGCUAUAUAUAGAGUGGUACAGAUAGUGGGCUUUGCACCUUGGGUCUUAUCAUAGGUGCAAUAUGAAUCUCGGAUUACAUAAUGCAUUUAUGAGGUGGGGAUUGAGCAUAUGUGCCUUCCAUAGCUAGAGAAGUUAAACAUAAAUAUCUAAGCCUAUCUAGAAGGCUGGGUACAGUAGCCUAGAGUGCAGGUAAUUGCUCGUGCAUGUACAGUGUUGUUUACUUGCACAUUGGAGUUAGGGUGGGGAAACAAAUUAACAACGGGCCAUAACAGUGGCUUACGGAGCCAGGUUAUAUACAGUGAUUAUUAAUAAAUAACCAAAGUAAACAAAAGUAUACAAUAGUAAACAUGGCAUCUUUAAAUUGCAUAAUGUAGACACAAUUGCCUGCCACCUCGAACUUCAGGAGGGUAGGGUGUGCAUAUCAAGCGUGCCCCUUGUGGGCACGAACAGGGUGCAAUAUUUCACAAUGGGCAAUCAGCUGCCAGAAAGUUCUCCGCUAUGCCAAGGGCCUGGAAGAAAGUCGGUGCUUCCAAAAGAUGCGCCAUCUGAUGUCUUGCCAGCCUUGUCAACUAGUAGCCGGCCCACUUCUAAGUUAUGGAAUGUUCCUAUAGUCGUUGGCAAACUUGCUUGAAGGAUCUUCGCUAUACCAGGGUAUGCCUAGAGAAGGCCCGAAAGAAUGCUAGCUGUACCCCUUUGAACGCCACCAUAGGAGAGCCUCUCACGGUCCUCAUAAGUACUCCAAGGUCAGAGUCCCGCAUUAGCUUCAGCAGAACAUUCCUGGGUGCGUCUUGGGCUGUGCUGGGUGCCUUCGUGAGGCAAAAGCAGGAGUCAAUGUUGUAACUGCGUUAAACAUAGUUUUGAUUUAUGCCAUUAAAGCCUUAAUGUCUGCUUUGGUGGAUGGGGCAGAGUCCCCCCAGUGCGGCAGGUGUCCGAGGUACCGUGCUUGCCUUAGGUGGAGAGAGGAUAUUGGCUUCAUUACUAUCAUCAUCAGAGGACAUCGAGGUUUAGUCCUCAGUGGCUGCCAUCUUGGUUGACUCUGUGUCACAUAUUCAUCCGCUUAUAGAAAUGUGGUUAAUGACAUUUACUGUCCACACAGGAAAAGUUGUGCCGAGCAGCAACCUAAUCCACAGAAGGGAUAAUGCUGAGCAGGGCCGGACUGGGGAAAAAAUUCGGCCCGGGCAUUUUUAAUUACAGCGGCCCACUGAAAAGGGGGCGGGGCCAGAUAGGGUGUGUUUUGUCAUCCCCAAUGACAAGCACGCCCCAUCUCAAAGUGAGCAUGUUGGUUCAAUGCUCUUCCAGGACAUGAGAAAAGGGCCCUGUAUUUGAUCUGCACAGCGCAAGCAAAUUUAAUAACAUGCUUGCAUUGUGUUUGCUUGAAACUUGUCUCAGGGGUUUCCAUAAUUGGAAUACUCACUGUAUCCCAUUUAUGGAGACACUAUGUGUUUGCUUAAAGGAUUUCUAGUGUGUUCAUAGGGGAUCUUGAGUGUGUAUGUCAGAAAUGUAGUGUGUGUGUGUAAGUGGUGCAGCGUCUGUGUGUAGGGGAUCUAGUGUGUGUUUGAAGGACUCAGGAGUGCGUAUAGGAGAUCUAGUGAGUGUGUGACUGGUGCAGUGUGUUUGGGGGGUGCUGUGUGUGUGAGGGGUGUAGUGUGCAUUUGUGAGGAGUAUAGUGUGUGUGGGAGGGUGCAGUAUGUGUGUGGGAGGGUGCUGUGUGUGAGGGCGCUGUGUGUGAGGGCACUGUGCGAGGGUUCUGUGUAUUUGAGGGUGAUGUGUAUUUGAGGGUGAUGUGUAUUUGAGGGUGAUGUGUGUGUGUGUGUGUGUUGGGGUGCUGUGUGUGUGUUGGGUUGCUGUGUGUGUGUUGGGUUGCUGUGUAUGUGUUGGGGUGAUGUGUGUGUGUGUGUGUGUGCUAGGUUUCUGUAUGUGUUAGGGUGCUGUGUCAAUGUUAGGAUGCUGUGUCAAUGUUAGGGUGCUGGUGUUAGGGUGCUGUGUGUGUGUGUGUGUUAGGGUGCUGUGUCAAUGUUAGGGUGCUGGUGUUAGGGUGCUGUGUGUGUUUUAGGGUGCUGUGUGAGUGUUAGGGUGCUGUGUGUGUGUUAGGGUGCUGUGUCAAUGUUAGGGUGCUGUGUGUGUGUUAGGGUGCUGGUGUUAGGGUGCUGGUGUUAGGGUGCUGUGUGUGUGUUAGGGUGCUGUGUCAAUGUUAGGGUGCUGGUGUUAGGGUGCUGUGUAUGUGUUAGGGUGCUGGGUGAGGGUGAUGUGUGUGUUUGCCAGGAUUUUGUAUUGGGGGAGGCAGGUAAAUGGCACUAUUAAUGUUUUACUAAAAAAUAAAAAUAAAUACAUAAUAAUAAAUAAUAAAAAUAAAUACAUAAUAAAUACUAAUAAUAAAUAAUAAAAAUAAAUACAAACUAAUAAAUACUAAUAAUAAAUACUAAUAAUAAAUAAUAAAUACAUACUAAUAAAUACUAAUAAUAAAUACUAAUAAUAAAUAAUAAAAAUAAAUACAUACUAAUAAAUACUAAUAAUAAAUACUAAUAAUAAAUAAUAAAUACAUACUAAUAAAUACUAAUAAUAAAUAAUAAAUACAUACUAAUAAAUACUAAUAAUAAAUAAUAAAAAUAAAUACAUACUAAUAAAUACUAAUAAUAAAUACUAAUAAUAAAUAAUAAAUACAUACUAAUAAAUACUAAUAAUAAAGACUAAUAAUAAAUAAUAAAAAUAAAUACAUACUAAUAAAUACUAAUAAAAAAUACUAAUAAUAAAUACCAAUAAUGAAUAAUAAAUACAUACUAAUAAUAAAUACUAAUAAUAAAUACUAAUAAUAAAUAAUAAAAAUAAAUACAUACUAAGAAAUACUAAUAAUAAAUAAUAAAAAUAAAUACAUUAUAUCCCCCCCCCCUCUAUUCUUACCUGUAGUCUGGAAGGUGGGGGGGUCGUGCUGCUGCCAGCCAUCCCUGGUGGUCCUCGUGGUUAGUGAACUCUAGCCCUUUGGGGCUAGAGUUCACUCUCGCGAGACCCGGCCGGUUGCCAUAGCAACGGUCCGGAUCUCGCGAGAGAAACCCGGCGGAGCUGCAAAUUAGAGCUCCGCCGGGUCCUCUCUCCUGGCGGCUGGCUCCCCCCCUCUCUCCCCGCCGGCGGCCGCGUUUGAGCCCAUGUGGGCCGGUGAGGGAGAUCUUUGAUCUCCCCACCGGCCCUCCAUGGAAGACAGCGGGGCCGGCGCUCGGAUAGCGCCGGCCCUGCAUAGACCGGCAGGGGAGAUCCUGUGAUCUCCCCUGCCGGCCUCGGCCCAUGGACACCGCGGCCCACCGGGCAUUUGCCCGGUGUGCCCGAUGGCCAGUCCGGGCCUGAUGCUGAGCAGUAAUUGUGCAAAUGAAACCUGGUGUCAUGUAUUCAUCCGCUUAGAGAAAAGUGAUUAAUGACAUUUACUGUCCACACAGGAAAAGUUGUGCCGAGCAACAACCUAAUCCACAGAAGGGUUAAUGCUGAGCAGCAAUUAUGCAAAUGAAACCUGGUAACUGACUUUGGGGUCAAAGGCCGGUUACAGCCUAUCAGAACUAAAGGAGGGUAUUUAGGCCCAGUUCUCAGCCUGCUCAGUGCCCUGUCGUGGUUUCCCUUGUGGUUGUCUGAGAGCGCGUUCCUGUUUAUAGUUUUCUACCUGGUUUUUGACUUUGGCUUUGUUUAUUGACUUCUCUAUAUUCUGGUAUCCUGACUCCUGGCUUUCCUCAUCGCUGUGUCCCUUUCCGUGUUCCCUGACCUCGGCUAGUAUUUUUGACUAUUCUUUGUACGUUAAAUCCGGCCAUUCUAAGGACCGGUAAUACGUUACUUAUUUGUCAUCCGUGCUGUACAGUUCUACGUGCUGGAUCAAACAGUAAUCCUGACACUCUGGCCGUGGGUCGAGCGGAGGAGAACAAAGAUAUCUCAGGAGACCAGGCCCGGAUCCGCUCGCUGCUUCUUGGACUUUUUCCCCAUGACUUGGGUAGCUGGCUAGUGCCUUUGUAUGCUCGAUCACUGGGUUUAGCCAUUGAGAACAGGGUAAGUGUACAGAGCUGCCUCAAUGUGCGUCCAACUCGUGCAGGCGCUGGCUCCGCCCCCUGUAAACUACCUUUUUUAAAGGGACAAGAGGGGCUAGGAACCUGAAGAGUGUUUUGAACACUAUAAAGUUAGGAAUAUAUGUUUGUAUUCCUGACCCUAUAUAUAUAUAUUUUUUUUAAAUAACAUACAUUUUCCUGAAUUGGGUAGUAUUCAUAUACAACUUCUCUCUAAAAGAAGCAUUUAAUGAAUGAAUUAAUUAACUUAAUACUGAAUUCAGUUCAUAAUGUCAGUAUGAAAUGUUUCCACUAAUGUUAAAACGUAACUUUCAGUAUUGUAGUAUUAAAGGAGACUUUCAGUAUUGUUUUUACCUAUCCCUUUAUUUAGCAAAUAAAUAUGUGUGAGUUAUAAAAAUUCAAAACAUAUGUUAAAAUCCACAACUUGUUAUCUUGCCAAUAGACUACUCCAUCUUAGCUCCGUGUUAAAGAAGCACUAUAAUGUCAGGAAUACUAACAUGCAUUCCUGACACUAUAGUGCUGAUCUGGCUGUUUAGGUGACUGGCUCCCCCUAAAUGCAGUAAAACUGUGAUUUUUCUCCCACCGGUCUCACCAUGGCUGUCCUCGCUUGGCUCUGCCUCAUGGCUAAGAUCAGCAAAGUGCCCCAAUCAGCAUCUCCUCACACUAUGCUGCACUGGACUAGGAAGCAUUACUAGUGGCCAUCUGAGUGCCACUAGAGCUGUUACUAUGCACCAAUGUAAACACUGCCUUUUUUAUGAAAUGUAUGUAUGUGUUUACAGUGCUAACACUGCAGGGACAUGCUAUAGAAAGGCACCAUUACAUACUUAAAUGGGGGGGUUGGAACUUGUGACCUGCUCUGGUAGGCUUUUGAUAUAAAUGUGUAUACUGUGUGUCUAACCUUAUCACUUUUUGAUUUCAUUUUAUAUGUUGUAUUGGUGUAUUAUUAUAUUACUUUGUAAAUAAAAUUGCAUUUAUAUUGACAGCAAAUUAGUUUUUGCAUUAAGUUGUUAUAAGCUCUGUCUUUUGCACCUAGCAGUACGCGUAGCGAAAGUAGACAGAGGAAAGGAGAGAUAAAACAAUGUGACUGUUUCUCAGCUCCAUUUGCAAUGUUUACUCUGAUGUAGCCUUGCCCAAACUGGAUUGCGAUGUAAUUUGAUUAAUCAUUAAUACAAAAAAAAUGAAGAAUCACCUAAAAGAAAAGUUGACUUACAGAUGAUUUUCAGUGUUUUCUUCAAUGUUGUAAUUUUCACAAGAUGGACGGUGCUAGGCUGGAAAUCACAACCUGGUCUGGAAACCCUUAUGCUGCCAUGGACUUAUGCACCAGACAAAGACGUUUCUGCUUUCCGUUGUCUCUAUAACCAGCUGCUGGGAAUACUCAAUGAAGUCACAACACUCAGAUGUAGUAUCAAGAAGCAUUCAAAGAUUUAAUGUGUAGUACAUCGUGUAUAUAUAAAAUGCAGUUUGUCUAGUGGUGUAUACAUCAACGUCAACAUUAACCAAUCAUGGAAGUCUCAGAACCGAAAGUUUUAUUUUUCAUUAUAACAUAUUGUAAUGCUGUUAGUCUCCUGUUCACUGAUGCAAGUGACAGUCUUAGAUUUAGGAACCCAAUUAAAAAAUUGCAGGUGCUAUAAAGAAUGCUAUUUUUUUUUUUUUUCAAGUACAGGAUGUUUAAAAAGAUAGCGAAAGCUGAUGUCAGGCGCAAGAACACAAGAACAGAAAAAUAUUGUUUGUUUAAAACAAUGUGAGUUUAACCAUUUCAAAGCAUGAGUAUGUUAUAUUAUAAUCAGGCCUACUGACCAUUCGGUCUUUCAAGCUAUGAAUACAGUAAUUCUUUAGCUAUGUAAUAAGGAAUACAGAAGUAGAAAACAGGACAUAAGACUGACACUCUUUAACAUAAAAUAUAUAGCUCUGUAUGUCAAGGGGAAUAUUCACUAAGCAUUGCAUAGGCAGCUUCAACAUGGAUGCUGUCCAGGAGGUGGCAGGGUCUGGGAGGGAGGGUCUGCUGGAGAUUGGCCGGGAUGUGUCAGCUGACCGGAGUUCACCGCGAACGGUUCGUGGCGAACCGCGGCGAGCCGUUUGCGGAAGGUUCGUGAACGGUUCGCGACAUCACUAGACUCUAGUAAAUGCCACACAACCUGCCAGGUCAAAAGAAGCCAGUUGUGUAUGUUCAUUUUGGGAAAUAGAAAAAAUAGAGCGAGUUGAUUUUAAUAAUGAUUAAUGACAAUAGGAAACCGAGGGUGUGCUGAAAUCCUGCUGAGGUAUCCACAAACACUAUAAACAUGCAACUAAGAAAUCAGUACUGCUCCAGUAGGUCUAAUUAAAUAGAACUUUUAAUAACAGUUAUAAAAUACACAAAACAGCUGGGGCGUAAAUACUGUGUUCAGAUGAAAAAAAGUACAUAGAAAAUACAAAAUACAAAAAGUAAAAAUGCAAAAAUACCCAGACGGGUGCCUUAUGAUUCUCCAGAUCCACCUUACAUGUUUAGUUCAACUAACCACACUUGCUCAAAGAUCCAAAUAGAGCCAGAAAUGAGGAUACACAUUUACACAUAUACACAAAUGCAGAAAUAUACACACACAAAGACCAAACACACACAGAUACACACCACCAGCAACAACUGCAAGACAAACAUAAAACAAAAUAUAUUAUGCAUGUUUCUAGCCAGCAUUCGGUUUGCCCACCUGCGUAGCAUGGAAGGAAGUGAUAGUGUAGACACUGCAUCCAGCACUGCUGCCUGGUUAGUAAGAUAGUUACAUUUCCCUAACUGGACUUCAUUUUAUUAAAGUGCCCUAUCGAGUCCCCUUGCUUCAGCAGGUCUCUUACACUGCCUUAGCUUCCACGCCAUGAGCACAAUAGACAGGAAUAGAUCUCAGUUUUUUUUUUUAUGUAUUAGACAUAUGCAUUCAAAAUGUUAUGCAAACAAAUUAAGAAAAAAUGGCUUACUAUUAAAGGGACACUGUAGGAACCCAGACUGAAGUGGUCUGGGUGCUGUGUACCUUUUGCACUUAGUGCUGUAAUGUAAAACAUUGCGGUUCCAGAGAACUGCAAUGUUUACAUUGCAGCUCUAUGUCUGCCCUCAGUGACUGUCUACCGUUAUCUGACGCUGAACGUCCUCAUGCUCUGCAGAUUUUUUUACCCCUGGGAAAGCAUUGAUUAAUACUUUUCUAUGGGGAAAUUCUAAUGCGAGCGCGGCCAUUGGCAUGCAUGCGCAUUAGGUCUCCCACACCAGCUGACGUCAGUGCGAGUAGCGCGUGGGUGGAGCCUGACUCAGCGCUGAGGGACAUUGACGCUGGAUUCAGGUGAGUGACUAAAGGGGUUUUAACAUGCAUGGCGUGAGGAUGUCCAGCAUUGUUUAGAUGACCAAAAGUCGUCUAAGAAGCCAGAAGCCAGAAGAGGACUUAACCCUGCAAGGUAAAUAUUGCAGUUUAUAAAAACUGCAAUAAUUACACUUGCAGGGUUAAGGGUUAUGGGAGUUGGCACCCAAACCACUUCAAUGGGCUGAAGUGGUCUGGGUUCUACAGUGUACCUGUAAGUCCAAAGAAGGAAAGAGAGGUGCAUUCUAGUCAUCUGUACAGAGUAUAGAUCUGAUACUGAAAAGGAGGAAGUAAAACCUAUUCAGCUAUGAGAUCCAAUAGUUGUGCAACUGAAAUAAGAAUGCAUCCUGAGCAAGCCACAGAGUUCCGAGUAAUCUCUGCAUCAUAACCUUUGCAGUAAUGCACAAUUGUAAUGAUGCUUCACAGUGACCCAUUCAGGGUUAUUUACUAAAGUGAGAAUAGUGCUGAAUUCAAAGUGAGUUCAAACCAAAUUUCAAAUUAAAGGCCAAAGUAAGAAAAAUGAUCCAAGUCAACCAGUUUGGCUACUUUGGCCUUAAAAUCUAAAACUUAGAAUUUUCCGACAAUUCUCACUUCAGCUAUUACAGCGGUAUGCAACCUUCGGCACUCCAGAUAUAGUGGACUACUCCUCCCAUAACUCUUUGCCAGCAUUAUGGCUGUAAGAGAAAUAUAGGAGUUGUAGUCCACAACAUCUGGAGUGCCGAAGGUUGUCUACCGGUGCCUUAGUAAAUAAUUCCUUCAACAAUAAAUUUUAAAAAUAGCAUAACAUUCAUUUGAAACCUGUUAUUUAUUAUUAUUAUUAUGUUAUUAUUUAUAUAGCCCCGACAAAUUCCAUAACACUUUACAAUGGGUGGACGAAUAGACAUGUAGUUGUAACCAGACAAGUUGGACACACAGGAACAGGGGGUUGGGGGCCCUGCUCAAUGAGCUUACAUGCUAGAGGGAGUGGGGUAAAGUGACACAAACGGUAAGGAUAGUAUUAGACUAAUGACAGUUGCAAGAGAGGAAACAGUCGGGAGCUAUUAACAGUUUAAUUCAUACGAUUUUAUGAAGAAGUGGGUUUUUAAUGAUUUUUUGAAGAAGUGGACACUGGGUGUGCAUCUAAUGGAGGAGGAAAGUGGGUUCUACAGGAACGGUGCAGCCCUGGUGAAUGGACCAGCACCUUAGUCGCAUCUGGUGUUAAGAGGGUCGGAUACGCGCAAUGUUUUUGAGAUGGAAGCGACAGGAUUUGGCGAUACACUGAACAUGAGGUGUGAAGGAGAGGUCGAAGUCAAAGAGAACACCUAGGCAGCGAGCCUGCAUGGUGGAGCUGAUGGUAGCACCGUUGACUUGGAGGGAGACAGACACAGGAGUAGCAACACUUGAGGGAGAAAAGACUAGAAUUUCAGUUUUAGUCAAGUUGAGUUUAAGGAAGUGGGCAGCCAUCCUGUUAGAAAUAGCAGAGAGGCAGUAAGAAACACUAGUCAAGAGGGAUGGGGAGAGAUCAGGAGAGGACAGGUAGAUUUGCGUGUCAUCCGCAUAGAAAUGAUAUUGUAAACCAAAGGAGCUAAUGAGUUUACCAAGGGAGGCAGUAUAGAUACAGAACAGUAGGAGACCAAGGGCUGAACCUUGGGAACACCAACAGAGAGGAGUUGGGGAGAAGACGCUGAGCCAGAGAAAGAAACACAGAAAGAACACUGGGAGAGGUAGGAGGAGCACCAGGAGAGAGCAAGAUCUUGUAGACCGUUAUUGCGGAGCAUGAGAAGAAGCUGUUAAUAAUCAACAGUGUCAAAAGCUGCAGACAGGUCAAGGAGAAUUAGGAUAGAGUAGAGACCACGAGAUUUUGCAGCGAGUAGAUCAUUAGAUACUUUGGUUAGUGCCACAGAGUGCUUACCUCGGAAACUAGACUGAAGCGGGUCUAGCAGAGAGUUAAACUCAAAGACGUCUGUCAAUCUUGCAUACACAACUCUUUCAAGGAUCUUGGAUGCAAAAGGCAGUAGCAAGAUAGGACGGUAGUUGGAUGGGGAGUUAGGGUCAAGGUUGGGCUUCUUUAGAAUUGGGGUUACAGUUGCAUGUUUGAAGGGCAAUGGAAAUAUGCCAGAGGAGAGAGAGAGAUUGAGAAAGUGAGAGAAAGAGAAGAAGACAGAGUACGGAUGAGAUGUGAGGGAAUUGGAUCUAGGGAGCAGGUGGUUGGGCGGGAGGACUGGAGCAGAGCAGAAACCUCUUCCACUAUAGCAGGUGCAAAAGAACAGCAGAGGGAGUGAGGUUAGGGGAAGUAUUGUAAGGGGAAGAAGAAAGAUGAGAGAUCUCUUCCCUGAUUGUAGAGAUCUUGUCAGUGAAGUGAGUUGCAAAGUCUGAUGUGGUCAAGUUAGCAGGUGGAGGAGGAACAAUAGGGCAAAGAAGAGAGUUAAAUGUGUGAAAUAGUUGUCUGGGUUCGCGGGAGAGUGUGGUUAUGGGUGUAUUGAAGUAAUUUACUUUUGCAGAGGAAAGAGCCAAGCUGUAUGAGCGCAGCAUAACUUUAUAGUGGAGAAAGUCAGACGCACAGUGAGACUUUCUUCAACAGCGUUCAGCAGUUCUGGAGCAUUAUGGAGGUAUCGAGUCAGCUUGGUGUGCCAGGGUUGUUGUUGGGGGUGCCUGCUGCGUUUAAAUAUAGGAGGUGCCAUGAUGUCUAGUUGAGAGGAGAGGGUGGAAUUGUAGAAGGAGGUUGCAGAGCUAGGAGACGUGAUGUUUGAGAUAGGUAAAAGUAGAGUUUUGAGGUUAGUGGAUAAAUGCUCAAGGUCAAGACAUUGGAGGUUUCUGUGAGAUUGAUGUUCAGACAAUGGUGUCAAUUGGGUCUUAGGUAUGCCGAUGUCAAAAGUCAGCAGAUGGUGGUCAGAUAGAGGAAAAGGAAUAUUGGAGAAAUUAGAGGCAGUACAGAGAUUGGUGAAGGCGAGAUCGAGUGUUUCACGCUGUAUGGGUUGCUAAAUUGGACCGUUGUGUAACGCCAAAGGAGGAGGUUAAAGAGAGAAGACGAGAGGCAUCACUGCAAUUGGGGUUGUUGAUUGGGAUAUUGAAAUCCCCAAGUAUAAGGGAAGGAGUGCUAGAUGAGAGGAAGUGGGGAAGCCACGAAGAAAAGGGCUCAAUGAAUAGUCUAGGAUAGCCAGGGGGCGGUAGAUGAUAGCAAUUCUUAAAGGAGUGGGUUUAAAUAGGCAGACAGUGUGAACUUCAAAAGAAGAAAAGGAUAGGGCAGGUGGAGUUAUGAUUUGUUGAAAGGUACAUUGAGAGGAAAGAAGGAUGCCUACACCACCUCCUUUACAGUUGAGUCUGGGAGUGUAAGAGAAUUGUAGCCCACCAAAACAUAAAGAGGCAGGAGUAGCGCUAUCAGAGGGGGAAAGCCAGGUCUCUGUAAGUGCAAGUAAUGUGAGUGAGUUUGAGAUGAAAAAGUUGUGUAUGGCUGUUGAUUUUAAAUUUUAUUAAAGGACACGGAGGCUCCUAUUAUGCUUAUCUCUUUUUUUAUUCCUCAGCAGCAAAAGAAAGGAUAUUAUAUAUAUUCAAAGAAAAAAUUUCAAUAACAAAACAUAAUUUACCCCAAAGAGUUAACCAUAUAUAACAUAUAAGCUAAUGAGAGUGUUCCUAGCAUAAUAAUGUCCCGUGUGACUCUAAGCCACUCCUCUUUCUUUUGCUGCUGCCUCCUCAGCUAAGUACAUUUUCAACCUCUGUCAUAAUUAAAAUUGUAUAGGUAUUUUAUGUCUAAGUUGGGUUAAUUACCUUUAAUUGCUUUUUAUUUUUCCAGUGUGUGUCUUUAAUUGACCUAUCUGUCCAUUUCUUAUUUACUUUAUGGGAAUCUGUCCUGCAUUUUCUCUGUAAUUUCCCUCCCUCCCUCCCCCUCCGUCAGUCUGGUCGGUUUGUUUAUUUUCCGAGCGUCCUCCCCCCUUCUUUACUUAGUACCUCGGACCUGAGGCUCCCUCUCAAGCCGGGUACCGUUUCUGUCCACGGUCCCGGCAAAAUCGGUGAGGAACUGGAAGAGGGCAAAGGCCCUGAUUGAAUCCUCUAAAUCUGAAUCAGAGCAAGAGGAGUCACAGAGCGAGUAAGAUGAGGACGACUCUUAUGAUUCCAACAGUUAUUUGCCAGAGCACAGCACCUUGACAAUAGACCCCAAAGAGGGAGUUGACGAAUCCGCCCUGGUUGACCCUCAGGGUGAGCCACUUUUUGACCCCGACACCCUACAACACCCGAGAUCCUCGGAGUGGUAUCCCCUGGAACAUGUAGCAAGAUAUAUCGCUGCUCGCAUUAGAAAGCCACUUGACAAGGUGGCACGAAACAAACUUCGAGCAGAAUGCCCACGCCCCACUAUUCCUGAUAUGGCAUGCACCGCACCUGACGUGGACCAAAAAUUGACCAUUUCUUGGGAAAAUCAGGUUGGAAUGUCAAGAAGGGACUUUGCCUGGCGGAGUUGCCAGGAUAAAGUCCUGGACGUCCUGGGGCCACUUGCGAAAAUGUUCAACAUGGUCGAAAUUGGACUAACAGGUGGUACACCGUUAGAUGUGGAAGCCAUCAAGGGGUGGAUCCAGCGAGUAGUAUGUCUUCUGGGCAACGCCAAUACUGCGGUGGCCACUGAAAGGCGCAAGGCAGUCCUGAUCAAAAUUUAACCUAAGCUAGUGAACCUAGCUAUUUCAGAGCUUGGACCCCAGGCAAAAGCCCUCCUGUUUGGGGAUAAUUUUGUCACUUGAUAAAGCUCAAGCCAGCAUGAAACGAGUGUUCCACCAGAGAGUUUUUGGCAGGGCUGGCAGAUAUCGGGGCCGUCUGCCCGGCCGCUCUCCCCGGGGUUCAUAUCGGGGCUCUAGAGGCUCCAUACAGUCCAGGUUCACAGCACCUGAGCCCAAACAUACCUAACGUUCUUCCCAGUUCGGGGCAGACCAUGGCAGUCUCUGGGACUCAGAGGUUCUUCCUACAGCCGAUGACCUUAUGGUAAGUUCGAUGCCUCUUCAUCUGUCUUCAUUAACAAUGGUGGGGGGCAGACUGUGUCACUUUGUCAAUGCAUGGCGCAUGCUCACUUCAGAUGCCUGAGUCCUCCAAACUGUCCAGGGUUACUCUAUAGAUUUUGUACAAUAACCUGUUCAAAUGCAACCCCCCAACCGUAUGGUGUUCCCCACUCAGGAUCAAUAUUUGAUAUCGAAGGAAAUCCACCCUCUCACACCAGGUUUCCUAGGCAACCUCUUCCUGGUCCCCAAAAAAGGCAGAGGCGUUCAUCCAGUCAUCACCCUACUACCUCUAAACAUGUUUGUCACAUAUCACCACUUCAAAAUGGAAGGUAUACACUCUCUCCGAGACCUCCUGCUUACAGGAGACUGGAUGGUCAAGCUCGACUUGAAGGACACAUACCUCACUGUUCCAAUGGCCGAAGACUGCCAAAAAUUGUUUCAAUUCCAAUGGGAGAAGACCGUGUGGCAUUUCAAAUGCCUACCUUCGGUCUCUCGUCAGCACCCUGGUGCUUCACAAAGCUCAUGAAACCAGUGGUCGCCCUCCUACGCAGCAGAGGAAUUCGACUUAUAAUAUACUUGGACGAUAUCCUCAUAAUGGUGCAGGACCCUCAGCUGCUCCACGAACAUCUUUCUUGGACGAGGACUCUGCUAGAAAACCUAGGUUUCCUAAUCAGUUGGGAGAAGUCGGUCACCAAACCCUUUCAAUCAAUAGAUUUCCUAGGAUUCACCAUAGAUGAUGUGAACAGAGCACUUCUACUCCCAACAACCAAAGUUAAAUCCAUCAAAAAGGAAAUCCGGCAGACGUUAGCACGUCCUGUUCUUACCUUGAGACAACUGGCCCAUAUUCCCUGUCCCUCUGCACUACAGAGCACUUCGUAAUACCUUUGUUUGGGGCACUCGUACUCAGACUCUGUUCCUCUCGACUGCACCGCCAAAGAAGAACUCAGGUUUUGGCUACAACACAUGGAAGCAUGGAACGGCCGAGCGAUCUCUGGAACCACUCCGGACAUCAUAGUGGAAUCCGAUGCAAGUAUGCUCGGUUGGGGGCGCGCUGUGGAUCUACCUCCAUGGUCCCUAGAGGAACAGGGACUACAUAUCAACUGCCUCAAAUUGCUAGCAGGAUCGUUUGCCCUAUGGAGUCUUUUAAGUAUAUCAACCAACUGCUCCAUUCUGUUACGCAUGGACAAUAUAUCAGCGGUCCGCUAUAUCAAUCACCUCGGGGGCACGAAGUCAACAAUACUAGCAGAACUAGCAAAGGAUUUCUGGCAAUUCUGUCUGGAUCGCAACAUUUCAGUACAAGCGGAAUACAUUCCGGGGAUGACCAACGUAGUGGCGGACUGGAAUUCCAGACACCUACGAGAUGCCAGCGACUGGCGACUGAACCCUGCCACCUUCAGCCAUUUACAGUCCCUUUGGGGACCCUUGGACAUCGACCUGUUUGCAUCAUGCUUAAACACACAGUUACCAAAGUUUUUCAGCUGGAGGCCAGAUCCAGAAGCUCUGGCGACAGACGCUUUCCACCAACCAUGGGCAAUUACCCGCCACUACGCCUUCCCUCCGUGUUCGCUCAUCGCACUGACUCUGCUGCACCUCAGACAUCACCGAACCUCCCUGAUCCUCAUAUCCCUCUUCUGGACGUCUCAGCCCUGGUUCCCUACACUCAUGGAACUGUCCAUAGAUCUCCCGAGAUUACUACCAGUGGCCACCAACCUUGUACUGGACCCCAACGGGAACUCGCACCCCCUCAUACUUCAGGGACAUCUCAAGCUCUUUGCAUGGCUCCUCUCAGGGGACUCUGCUAUAUCCCAAAUGUUCCACAAACAACUCUGGGCCUCCUGGUGGGGGCUUGUGCUUCAGGAACAAGGAGGUCAUACCUACAUGCCUGGAACGCAUGGAAUAGUUGGUGCAUGGAACAACACGUGGAUCCCAUAUCUGCAACUGUGAGUCAAGUUUUAGGUUUCCUUACUUCACUUUUCGACCAUGGCCUGGCAUAUCAUACAAUCAAUUUAUAUAGCUCAGCUAUUUCGGCGGGCCACCAAGGCUGGAAUGGACUCCAAACAGGGAAACACCCAGUGGUAUGUCAACUCCUACGCGGCAUCAAGUUCAAACGCCCACCAUGACCUAGGUAUUCAGAUUCGUGGGACCUCGUUCUCCGACUUUUGGAAAAUUGGCCAAAGAAUGAGGACCUUUCCAUCAAGCAGCUCACCGCUAAACUGGUUAUGCUGUUUUGUCUUAUCUCCUGUAAACAUGUCUCAGAUGUCCGAGUACUGGACCUCGCGGCACGCUCAUUUACACCAGAAGGCAUGUCCUUCGCUAUAUCGAGACGUACAAAGACAUCCAUUACAUCGGUUUUCUACCCAGCUUUUCCACAUAACGUUAACCUGUGCCCAGUAGUCUGCCUCAAAGAAUAUGAAGCAAGGACAGCUUCUGUUCGGGACCCCCGGUAUCCAGAUCUAUUUCUGGCAAUUCGACAACCACACCAUCUAGUUUCUACAGUUACCAUAUCUCGCUGGGUCAAAUGGAUCAUGGCGUCGGCUGAGUGAGGGGUGCUAUGGCAUCAAAAGCCUUUUCUUUGGGCUGUAGACUGGAAGAUCUCCUCCGUGCAGCCGACUGGUCCAGAGAAUCUACAUUCCGAGAAUUUUAUUUUCGUCCAGUUUCUCAUUUUUCCACUUCAGUGAUCACGCAGCUUUGAACUACCAUAAUAGGAGCCUCCAUGUCCUUUAAUAAAAUUACCAGAUUUUACUAAUCUAAUGACAUAAAGUCAUGAUUUUAUAAAGGACAUGGAGGCGGUAUUGUGAAUAUACCGUCAUGUAAUUGGGCACGAACCGUGUGGUAAUGCAAUGUUUUGUUUUCCCUUGAUUGACUAGUACUGAACUGACAUAUUGAUUGAUUAAGGUUGUAAUAUAGAUGUGGACAUACUAUCCAAGAACGUAUUUUACCAUUUCGUUUCUCUGUCUUACAGCCUGCUAAUUGGGUUGUCAUACUGGUCCAUGUCUGUCCAUAACAAGUUCAAACAGAAGAUUGCCAGUUUUCUCUGGAGUUCCGUUACUGUAAGCUCCCUGGAAUCACAGUUCUACACAUCUGUUGAAUUACAGCGUUUUUCUAUCUAUGGGAGUGUUCGUCGGCAACAUCAAGAAAGAGGAGUGGCUUAGGGUCACAUGGGACAUUAUUAUGCUAGGAACAAUCUCAUUGGUUUAUAUGUUAUAUAUGGUUAACCCUUUGGGGUAAAUGAUGUUUUGUUAUUGAAAUUUUUUCUUUUUUUAUAUAUAUAUAAUAUCCUUUCUUUUGCUGCUGAGUAAUAAAGAAAGAGAUAAGCAUAAUACUCGCCUCCGUGUCCUUUAUAAAAUCAUGAGAUUAGUAAAAUCUGGUAAUUACUGCAGAUGGAGCGGGCGUUCCAGAGUGCACACUGAAUGUUGGUAAGUGAGGGUAAAGGGCAGGGUAUUGUGAUGAGGUUUGUGGGGUUUCUGGUUUACUUAGUGUGUUUAGAGAAGGUGAAGGGCCCUGGAUUGGGAGAGACAUCACCAGCUGCUAGAAGCAGGAGGAGAGAAAGUGACAGGAGGUGUGAAUGGGUUUUGUAUGCAUGGGGUAUAGGAUGAGAUUGAUUGUGGGUUGGAGUGAGAGAGUAGAAAAAUGAGUGCAAGGCAUGAGAUGAAAGAAGGGGGAGUGUAGCAGAGAAGGGCAUAUGUAAAUGUGGAUGGGGGGGCGGUGAGUGAAGUGGGUGUAAGGAGAGAUUUUUAUACUGAGGGAGAAGGAGGAAAUAAAGACGAGAAGACCGGUCAUUGCUAAACUGUGAAAAAGUUAAUUGGAAAUAAUUGGAAUAUCAAGAGUAUAUUAUUUUACAGUGUGUUUAUAGAAUUAAUGCAGAGUGUGUGUUUGUGUGUGUAUAUAAUGAAUGCAGAGUGUGUGUUUGUGUGUGUAUAUAUAAUGAAUGCAGUGUGUGUGUGUUUGUGUGUUGUGUGUGUAUAUAAUGCAGUGUGUAUAGAAAAUGCAGUGUGUGUGUUUGUGCAGUGUGUGUAAACUGGAUGAGGGGAGGGCAUUUUUAUUUAAAUUUUUAAAUUUUAUUAUAUUAUUUCAAUAUUAUUAUUAUAUUAUAUUAUUAUUAUUUUAAUAUUAUAUUAUUUUAAUAAUAUUACUAUUAUUUUAAUAUUUGCAUUAUUUUUUUAAAAUGUUUUUUUGUCCCCCCUCCCUGCUUGUUGCCUGGUCAGGGAGGGGGGACAAAAAAACAUUUUUUUAAAAUUAAUGCAAAUAUUAAAAUAAUAUUCAUAGAAAGCAGAAUUCAAAAAUUACCACCAUGCACGUUCUCUGAAAUUUGUUUAGCACAAUGGUUGGGGGAAGGAUGUGAAAACACCCCAUAUACAAUACCCUGGAAUGUCUACUUUAUAAAAAUAUAAACUUUCAUGAUAUUAACAUUAACUGGGGGAUGCAAAAAUAUGCCAAACUGAAGAUAGGCCAAGCAUACCUAUAUAUCAAGUUGAAAAACUGAUAUGUACAAGUCUCGAUCGUGGCCUUUUAGCCCCCAAACAACCUGACAAGCCUAUGCAUGGGUGGUAUCACUGUACUCAGGAGAUGUUGCUGAACACAUAUUGGGGUGUUGUUUGGCAAUGUCACAUAACCGGAUCUGUUAAUUCAUGCCUAAAGUACAAUGUGUGUAAAAAAAACACCAAAAAAAUUACUACCUAAAAGUUUGACAAAGUCUAGUGUUAGAAUUAGUGCAUGGAAAGUGUUAAAAUACCACCAUGUGAAAUACCCUAGGGUGUCUACUUUCCAAAAAUAUAUAGUUUGGUGGCAGAAAAAUACAUUGGUCGGCCUUACAAAUGUCCCAAAUAGGACAUGCAUGCAGGUUGACUACAUGUCAAAAUUCCAAGUUAGAAAAUGGAUAUGCGCACCUAACAUGAUCUGUGAGUUUAUACCUGAAUUGCAAUGUAUGUGAAAACAAAACUAAAAAAAAAACUACCUAUGCGAAGUUUGGCAAGGACUGGUGGUAAAAUGGCUGCAUAGAAAGUGUCAAAAUAUCCUUAGAUGAAUACCAUGGGUUGUUUACUUUAAAAAAAAUAUAUACAUGUGGGGUGUUUUCCAGAGAUUUAUGACAGAUAAUAAUGUUACAAUGUCACUAUUGAUAAAUUUUAAAAAUGUAUGUUUUGAAACCGCAAUAUCCUACUUGUACUUAUAGCCCUAUAACUUGCAAAAAAAAAAUGCAAAAAAGCACGUAAACACUGGGUAUUUUUAAACUCAGGACAAAAUUUUGAAUCUAUUUAGCAGUUUUUUCAUUGGCUUUUGUAGAUGAGUAAAAGAUUUUUCAAGUAAAAGUAAAAAAACAUGAUUUUUUUUUAAAUUUUGCAUCAUAUUUUAUUUUUAUUUUUUAAUUAAAUUACAUGAGAUUAUAUAAAUAAUGGUAUGUAAAGAAAGCCCUUUUUGUCCUGAAAAAAACAAUAUAUAAUUUGUAUGGGAACAGUAAAUGAGAGAGCGGAAAAUUACAGCUAAACACAAACAAAAAAGAGGCCUGGUCGCAAAUGUACAUCUCAAAAACAGUCCAGUCCUUAAGGGGUUAAUUGUAUUUUUAUAUAUUUGUUUAUUGUUUACAGAAAUAGUAAAGGGGAAACAAAUCUUAGAGAAUAAAAUAGAUUAUACCAUUUAUGUUAUUUUGGAAUUAAUAUUGUAUACUGAACUCUCUUUACUGAAGAAUGUAUUUUAACCCCUUAACGCCGUUACGGCGUUCUAUGUCGUCCCGCAUUAAAAGGGCUUUAAAGCCGUUGCGGCGGCAUAGAACGCCGUAAUGGCUUUGAGCCCCUGGAGGUCCGGCGUCCUUACGAUCCUCUUCUGCGAUCCUCUUCUGGAGGGCUGCCUGACAGCCCAGGCAGCCCUCCCCCAGCAAAUGAGGCCCCCAGGGGCCAUGUGAUUGCUCUGAAAGAGCAAUCACAUGGCCCCCUAUAGCUGGCUGUGGAUCUGCCAGCAGGGGGACUGUCUAAAAUGUCAGACAGUCCCCCUGCUGGUGGGAAAGUAAAAAAAAAAGAAUUAGACAUGUGUAAAAUUAAAAUAAAUGUAUUUUUAUAUAUAUAAUAUAUGUAUACCUAUUAUAUAUAUAAUAUAUAUACAUAUUAUAUAUAUGUUAUGUCAUACAAAGUGUAUUUUAAUAUUAAUAUAAGUACAUAUAUGUCAAGGUUAAUACUCCCCAACACGCAAACCAGAGAACAAUAAAGGCGAACACAGAUAGACGUAUUACCGGACCUUAAAGUGGCCGGACUUAACGUAGGAACGAAAGAUAAGAAUAGUCAAACACGCCAAGGUCAGUAAUACAGAGAUACGGGAAAGCGAAAUAGACAAAGCCAAGGUCAGGGAGCCAGAAAUAAGAAUAACCAAUAAACAAGCCAAAGUCAGGAACCAGAGAAAAAUGACAACUACUCAGAAUGCACUCUCGGGCUAUAAUAAACCACAACAGGGCAAGGAAGUGAUGUCAGAAGAAGGUUAAUAUAGGGCAAGAUGAAUACUAAUAGGUAGGGACAGAAUUGAAGGAGGUAUACAUAGAUAGUGGCAAUAGGCCACUAUCUCUUUAAAUUUGGAGUCCACGUCAUCCCUGCCGAUUACCUUGUGCGCGCGCGCACGUCUCCGGGCGCUCUCCCAGAUGCGCGAGCGCGCUCCCCCGGAGGCGCACGCGUGCAACGCCCGCCAGCGAUCCACACCGCAGGAAUGAGAAUUACCCCCAUGAUGGCAUACCAUUUGCAAAAGAAGACAAACCAAGGUAUUGCAAGUGGGGUAUGUCCAGUCUUUCUUAGUAGCCACUUAGUCACAAACACUAGCCAAAUAUUAGUUUUUUGCUUUUUUCACACAAAAACAAAUAUGAACACUAUUUUUUGCCAGUGUUUGUGACUAAGUGGCUAAUAAAAAAGACUAAACAUACCCCACUUUCAAUACCUUGGGUUGUCUACUUUUUUAAAUGGUAUGCCAUUAUGGGGGUAAUUCUCAUUCCUGGGCUACCACACCAUCUCAAAGGUAACAUUACUAAUCUUGCAAAUUUCAAUUUGAAAAUGUAAUGUGCUACAUUUGACCCUGUAACUUUCCAAAACACCAUAAAACCUGUUAAUGGGGGGGUACUGUUGUACUCGUGAGACAUCGCUGAUUACAAAUAUGUGCAUUUUUUAAAACCUAACAGUAUUAUGACAUUAACAGCUAAAAUGUCCGACGGAAAUACAAAUUUAAAAAAAAAUCUUAUUUUUAUACAUUUUUUUAAAUUUUAUUCAUAAUAAAUUAUGUUCCAUAUAUGAAUAGUUAAUGAUAAAUGAAAGUCCUGUUUCACCUGAACAAAAUGAUAUAUAAUAAGUGUGGGUGCACUUAAUAUGAAAGAGGUGAAUUACGGUUGAACAGACAUAUAGCGCAAAUUCCAGUUUUUGUUUACGUUUUGUUUUGAUCAGAACGUGUACUAUUGAUUCUGUCCUGAAGGGGUUAAAGCAGUUGACAGCAUAUAGAAAUCCCUUUCUAGUUAUUCCUUAGUUAAAUAUUCUACUUGAUUCCUCUAAUCACUGUUAUUUGCUCUCAAAUAUACUGUAGUUAAAUAUACAGUCGCAGUGUUUCACUACCAAUAGAACUUAAUUGUAUUUAUUACAAUGGAAGUGCAGAGAGAUAAGUGCCUAGCAUUAAAUAGUCAUCAUAUUGUAGUGCUAUUAAUCAUGCCCUUUCGCUUUCAUUGACAUUUUAUAACCACAACCUCAAUGGCAUGUAAUGAUGCUGCACAGGCUAACAGGUGAGCGGUAAGAAUUUUCCACACUUUGUAGGUUAUUUAGUAGGCGUUCAAUGAGUACAAAUACAACGUUAAUGAUUUUGAUAGACUUUGGCCUCAUUAAUGAGCUGUAUUUUUUCACAUGCUCAAACAUUUAGAGUUUUCACACAUUAAAAAAAAAAAUGUUUUGCAGAAUGUAGGACCGCUAUCCAGUCACCAAAGCCAAAGACCAGUUUUGGGGUCGAAACAUUGCUGCUGUACACUGUUCCAUAAUAAAAGUCUGACUGGUUAGGGACACUACUGGGUAUGCCUGGGCUCCUUUAUACAUCCCAGUGUGGCUUUUAUUGGGUCUGCCCUCCCUUCCUGGAGCACCCCAGUGGGGAUAGUCCCUUACUUGACGUGCAUGUGCAUCACUGAAAAUCUCCAUUGCUAAAGCAGACUUCCUAAUCCAAUGUACGUACACAGCUCAGCCACUACCACUACUGAAUGAUCUGAACUACAAGGCAAUCUGCACUAGAAGGAGAAGACACCAAGGGAGACAUAUACAGGGUUAUAAAAGUCUCAAUGGCCCUGCAACUGAAUAAGGCAAAACGAUUUGCUGAAGUACAGGGCCUGUUUAGUCUGCAGAAUCCAGACAUGCUCACAGUAUGUAGCAAUAUUUGGAUCUUGCUAACCGGGCUCUGAAUGAGCCAGAAUUUAUUAAAUUGUUUACAUGGGCCCAAAUGCUUGAAAUUGUAUGUAAGAGGUUAAUACAUUAUACUUAGGUAACGUUUAAAUUGUCCUUGGACAACUUGUCAGAUGAAGUAAUUUAUUCCAAAACAGACUUAACUGAUGAAAGGUGACAUUUAGGGGACGGCACACAUUCAGGAAUGGGAAGAGUGAAGCACUUUGUGACAAGAAGGGACUUGAUCCGUAAUGCAAAGUUUAGAAAGUUUAACCACAUGUCAGUCCAAGAGUACUCAAACAGUGCCCAAUUCACCCAUCAAAACUAUCAGCUUCAACACUUAUUUACUCCAGAGCAGGGUGCACCACAAGAUGAGCUCAUGUGUCUACCUAAAGAGCAUGGUUAGACAGGUGUCCCAUUCACCAUUACUAAGUGAAGAAUGAAGGGGUUCCCAAACUGGGAACCUGCCUAGAAUCCCAUCAGAUCUUAAUCAUUCUUUAAUUCACUGCACUUCACUGAAGACACAUCCAUUAUGAGACAGGACUCAGCCUCUGCUAAAAUAGGGACCCUAUCAUUGAUCAUAAUAAAGACUAACAGGGCUAUUUACUAAAGUGAAAAUUCAAGAUGAAUUCAAAGUGAAUUUAAAAUGUAAGGACAAUGUAGCCAAACUGAAAGCAUAGCUGGCUUUGAAAAAUGUUUCCAGUUUGGCUAUUUUGACCUUAAAUUUUACAUUCUCUUUGAAGUCUCACUUUAGUGAUUAGCCCUUUAGGUUUUGUUUACGUUCAGAAUUUGGACAAUUAAGCAGAGGAGAAGCAAGGGGAUCCCGGAGGAGCAUGGGAGCCUGGGGCAAAGGACUAUCAGGGGGGCCUAGGCCAGAGGAGAAGCAGGGAGAGCCUGGGGCAGAGGAAGAGCAUGGGAGCCUGUGGCAAAGGAAGAGCAUGGGAGCCUGUGGCAAAGGAGGAGCAGGGGGGCCUAGGCCAGAGGAGAAGCAGGGAGAGCCUGGGGCAGAGGAAGAGAAGGGGAGCCUGGGGCAAAGAAAGAGCAUUGAGAGCCUGGGGCAGAAGAGAAGCAGAGAGCCUAGGGCAAAGGAGGAGCAGCGGGGCCUAAGGCAGAGGAGAAGCAGGGAGAGCUUGGGGCAGAGGAAGAGCAUGGGAGCCUGUGGCAAAGGAAGAGCAUGGGAGCCUGUGGCAAAGGAGGAGCAGGGGGGCCUAGGGCAGAGGAAGAGCAGGGGAGGCUGGGCAAAGGAGGAGCAGUGAGAGCAUGGGGCAGAAGAGAAGCAAGGAGCCUAGGGCAGAGUAAGUGUAUGGAAGCCCGGGGCAGAGGAAAAGAACAGGAGCCUAGAGCAGAGAAAAGGGGGACAUGGGGCAGACAUAAAUUUAAGUUGAAAUAACAGCAACUAUAUUAAUAACAAACAUUUUUCUAAUAUGAGGGGUACAAUUUAUGGAAAUGAGCUGCCAAUUGGGUACACAAGUGAAAAAAGGUUGAGGACCACUGUUUUAGGGAACCUUAACACUGUGUUUGAAAGUGUCUGAAAAAGCCUGUCUGAAGGUGAAACGCAUUAGUGUUUUAUUGGUGUUUCAUACUAUACUUUUGGUUUUAUUAUUUUGGUUAUAAAUAAAACUAGUUUUUAAUCGAAUUUGACCUUCCUUUUUUUAUCUCUGAAGUUUUUACCUGGAGGAGUCAUACUCCUAGGUUGGGAAGAUACCAUCUAAGCUAUAUAGAAUUGAGCAUAACUUUACAGUGCUCUCCAUUUGUGAGUAUACCUCCUUUUAUUAUUUAUUUUUUCAACUAUACAGAGAGCACUAUCUUCUGUUUUUAUUUUCAUUUUAUACGCUGGUGAACUCUCACUGUGACUAAACGGCAUAUUUAGUCGUAGAGACCACUUCUACAAAGCUGACCACCACCUGCUGCUGACCGGCCUUAGGAUCCCUUUCCACAUAAGAUCAAGACAGAGACCAAGAUCAGCAUAUCCACAGACGGGGAUUGUACCGUCCAAGCGCAUAUAUCUGGAGCUGAUUUCAAGCUCCAGAAGAUUGUAAGUGCAUUUCCUUUCUUUCAAAAAUAUUACACCAUUUUCCAUUUUAUUUGUUCUCUUGUUUUACAUAUCGAUCCAUCUUUAUUUAAAUUGAGGACACUUGUGAAGGAGCUGUUUCUCUGCAUUCUCUUUCUAUAUCUACCUACGCCAGAAGGAAGAGGUUCUGGUUUGGGAAGUCAAGCGCUAGAAUCCCAUCUUUUUACUUACUCUAUAAAGUAUGUCUACGACAUUAUCUGGUUGAAAGCUUUCUUUGGGUAUUCUGAUGUAAACAAACGUAAUAAUCAACCAUAGUGCAUAUUAUUUUUGAGAGAUGGGAAAGAAGGGAAGGAGAUUAUUUCAGUAGGUAUUUCACUGCUUUAGGCUGCUCAUUUUUAAGUUGGUUCAAAUUGAUAUAUUUCUUUACAUUGCCAUUUAGAGAAAGCACUGAGCAAAUACAUUUAAAAAUGUUUAAUGGCUUUUGUUAAAACGAUGAUAGACUAGUCAGAUUUAUCUUUUCUACAUCAAAGGUCUAAAUGAUAAUUAACAUGCUGUGAUCCAUUUUAUAUAAAAAAAAAAAAUAACAGAAGUACCGUCAACUAUUUAGAGGGUCUCUUGCAGGGUUUCCAAAUGUUUGUCUGCACAUUAAUACAUGUUAAAAGCAUUCAGUCCAACAGUUGGAUUCCACUUCUCAGUCGAGACAUGAUUCAUUUAUGAAAUUAUUCCUGUAAAUUGCUGAUAUGUGUUUUAAGUGUAUCUGUCAUGAGAAGUUCACUUUUUGAAUAAACGUUUAAAUAUUGUCUACAUGUAUAUGUUGCAUUGCUUAACCUUUUCAAUUAACCAACCCCCAAAAUAUUUUUUUAAGUACAUAAAUUCUAAAAAGAAAAAAAAAUUAAAAUGAAAACAGAGAUAGGCAUUUUAGUUAAUGAAGGAAAAGGAAGACAUUUUAAAUAAUAUUUCCUCAGUAUAUAUUAAGGAGGAUCCUAUGGCAAGAGAUACGCACAUAACAGCUGCAAAAUAAUUUGUGAUUGGAUGACUCAAGACAAGGUGCUGCAGCAACUAAAGAAAGUUAAUGUAAACAAAGCUCUGGGGCCUCAUGGUAUUGACCCACAAGUACUUAAGGAGUUGUUUAGCUUUCAAGAUUUUUUUUUUUUCACAAAUUGUACCGGAGGAUUAAAGGAAGGGAGAUGUGGUCCUAUAUUCAAAAAGGGAUCACAAUAUUUGCCUGGAAGUUAUAGACCUAUUAGUUUAACGUCUGUGACUGGGAAUGUAUUUGAAGGGUUAUUAAGGGACAAUAUUCAGGAAUUCAUUGAGAAGAACAUUGUUAUUAGCAAUAAUCAGCAUGAUUUUAUAAAACUAGCUCAUGUCGAACUAUCCAUAUUGCAUUCUACAAACAAGUAGGUAGAAGUAUAGAUCAGGGUGUUGCAGUAGAUUUGAUCUACUUGAAUUUUGCCAAGGCAUUUGAUACAGUUAGUACAACAGGUUAGUGUUCAAGCUACAAUAAAUUGGUCUACAUGAAAAUGUGUGCUCUUGGGUAGACCAUUAGCUUAAAUAUAGAGUACAGAGAGCUGUCAUUAAUGGUACAUUUUUAAGCUUGGCAAAAGUGGUAAGUGGUGUCCCUCGUAGUUCUGUUUUGGGACCUCUUCUAUUUAACAUAAUUAUAAAUGUUCUUGAAAUAGGCAUUUAAAGCCAUGUUUCAGUGUUUGCAGAUGACACAAAACUCUGUUAAGUAAUACAAUGUAAGCAGGAAAUUGGUUUGCUGCAGAGGGAUUUAGAUAGAUUGGGGGACUAGGCACUAAAAUGGCAGAUGAAAUGUAAUUUAGACAAAUGCAAGUUUAUGCACUAUGGGGUAAAGAAUGCACAAGAAACAUACACACUAAAUGCUAGUGAAUUAGGGAUAAAAACACACGAGAAGGAUUUGGGAAUUGUUAUAGACAACAAACUAGGCAACAUCUGCAAUGUCAAUCGGCAGUUAUUAAGGCCAGUAAGGUAUUGUGAUGUAUAAAUAGGGGCAUUCAAUUUUGGGAUGAAAAUAUAAUUUUGCCUCUUUAUAAAUCACUGGUAAGAACACUCCUUGUAUAUGCUGUGCAAUUCUGGGCACCUGUUCUAAAGAAGGAUAUUAUGGCACUAGUAAAAGUGUAGAGGCGGGCUUCAAAAUUAAUAACAGGAUGGUUAACAAAUUUAAAAAUUUUUAGUUUUGGAAAAACAUAAUCUCAGAAGGGAUAUGAUAGCAUUAUACAAAUGUAUUCAGGGCCAAUACAAACCAUUGUCUGGAAAUCUAUUCAUAAACCGGAUUAUACAUAGUACAUGAGGUCACACAUUUAGACUGGAAGAAAGGAGAUUUAGUCUAAUGAAAUGGUUUUUUUUCCAUUAGAACAAUAAGGAUGUGUGAUUCUCUGCUUGAAGAGGUGGUUUACUUAGAUUAAAUACAGAUGUUUAAACAUCAAUUGGAUAUAUACAUGCAAAACCAUAACAUUCAGGGAUAUAAUUUUUCAUUAGCGGGGUAAUACCUUCUUGAUCCAAGGAGAUAUCUGACUGACAUUUUGGGGACAAGAAGGACUGUUUUCCUAGUUGCAAAAUUGGAAGCACUUCAACUGGAUUGUUUUUUUCAUUUAACAAAAGGUGCAGAUUUCAUUAGAAAUUGGCACUUUUAUAUUAACCUUGUUACACCCCCUGCUCUCCUCCCCCCUUGCUGUAAGACAGCUGGCCCUAUUACAUCCUGGUUUAGAGCUAAACAGAAGAGGCAAACAAUUGCCUAGACCACCUGCCUUGUAAAGACUUCUGGACUGCCAUAGAAAGUCUGAGCUAGGGAAGAAAGGUAGGUUUUACAAGCUGUGUUUAAAUAUAACCCCAAUUAAAACAAAAAUCAGAAUUAAAUGCAUGGAUGUUUUUAUUGGUGGUGUAACUACUAAAUCUUGAGUUAUGUAGUAUUUGGGCAGUUCAGUUGAGUGUCCUUUUAAGUGUUUCACAAAGCAGGGCAACCAUCCUCUUGUCACUUUAUAUGUUAAAACUAUUACAGCAACUGCUAUACAUUACAGGUAUGUGCUACGGUCAUCUGAAAGAAGAUUCUCCUGCAUCUUGUCUGUCAGUCAAUCCUUAGUUGCUGUCAUAUUAGUGAAGGCUAAAAAUUGAGUGAUGUAUGGAGGAGUUGACAUUUCUUAUUUUAUAUUAUAAUCUUCUGUUUAUGUAUCACAGCAUUAUCACCUUGAAAGAGCAUAGAUUGGUGCCAUAUUUGGUUGGCCAGGAAUGUUAGGACCAAUUGAGGACCAAUUUAUAAAUCACUGAUUAGCAUUGAUAAAUUAACGGUUUGCUAUUAAACUCCUAUUUGGUUGUACUAAUUUUGUCUUUAACAUUUACCUGUCAUACAAACAACUUGGCCAUCUAUACCAAAGACGGAGUGACUCAUGAGAACCCACAUAUAGUCCUACAGCUCUCCAUUCCUUUAAAUACAGUGACUGUGGUGUGAUAUUCCUCUAAAUAAAUUUGAGUGACACAUGUUGCUAUACCCAAAUUCUCAUUUGCUGCUUGUGAAUCCAGCAUUUGUUUGUGUUUUGGUGGAGGUUUGCUCUGCUUAGAGAUUUUUUUCCAAUCAGGGCCAAUAGUGUAACAUUGGGUUGAGACAUAGGCGAGAGCAAAGGGUGGGUAUUAUGUUGGCUACAUGGCAUCAGAUGAGAGUAGGUCCCAUAAAGGGAUUGUCCAGGUAAAAUUGACUAGAGAUGUUUAAUGCAUGAUUUAGACAAUGCAUUAGAAUAUAAUUAAAAAAAAUAUUACUUACCUUUUUUAUGCACUUCGGCGUAAAGAAUACACAAGCAACGUAUACCCUUAAUGGAAGCGAAUUAGGGAUAACAACACAAGAAAAGGACUUGGGAAUUGUUAUAGACAACAAACUAUGCAACAAUGUGCAAUGUCAAUCAGCAGUGGCCAAGGCCAGUAAGGUAUUGUCAUGCAUGAAAAAGGGCAUUCAUUCUCGGGACGAGAAUAUCAUUUUGCCUCUUUAUAAAUCACUGGUAAGACCCCAUAUUGAAUAUGCUGUGCAAUUUUGGGCACCUGUUCUAAAGAAGGAUAUUAUGGCACUAGAAAAAGUGCAGAGGCGGGCUACAAAAUUAAUAAAAGGAAUGGAACAUAUCGGCUAUGAAGAAAGGUUAACAAAUUUAAACCUAUUUAGUUUAGAAAAACGUCGCCUGAGAGGGGAUAUGAUAACAUUAUACAAAUAUAUUCGGGGCCAAUACAAACCACUGUGUGGAAAUCUAUUCACAAACCGGACUUUACAUAGGACACAAGGCCAUGCGUUUAGACUGGAAGAAAGAAGAUUUCAUCUAAGGCAAAGGAGAGUUUUUUUUACUGUAAGAACAAUCAGGAUGUGGAAUUCUCUGCCUGAAGAAGUGGUUUUAUCAGAGUCCAUACAGAUGUUCAAACGGCUACUAGAUGCAUACUUGUUGCAAAAUUGUGCUUCAAACUGGGUUUUUUUGCCUUUUUUUGGAUCAACAGCAAAAAACAAAUGUGAGGUAGGCUGAACUAGAUGGACGCAAGUCUCUUUUCAGCUAUGUAACUAUGUAACUAUGUAACUAUGUAACUUUUAUAAGUCCCUCAACUGAACUGCUUAGUGGGUCUGCUCACACAGAUAUUCUCUCAAUAGAAUAAGACUAAUCAAUACUGAGUGUAUCAUUUAGUCGAGAGGAAGUGAUCUUUUUCUGUAAUCCCCUGUCCAGCAUGGGAUUAUGGGAUAACUAUUUCACCCCCAAAUAGCAGUUUGAAAUAUAAAAUAGGAUCAUUGGAAUCACUCAAAAAACUAAUGGAAGCUACAUGUUGUUUGUUUAUACAUAGCCUGGUUCACUAUUUAUUAAAGCAGACUAUGUAUCAUACUAUUGAGUAAGUCACAGACAAUGCACCAAACGAACAACUUAGAAACUAAAUCUUCUGAGCAGCCUUAUUAACUGUCCUGAUGGGCUGUCUUAUAGCAGCAGUAAUUUUUACAAAUCAUGGCCACUGUUAGCCACUUUCAAACAUAGGAAUAGGUUCAAGGGGGGCGUUGUAUGGCCUUCGACCUUAAUGGCCGCAUGAUUUGAGAGCUCCUGACAAUCCGCACUGAAUCCAGCACGUAUCAUAAGCAUCAAGACCCAAAACACUAUCUAACUUGCUCAGGCAUGUCCAGUGCUGGUUCCGGAUCAAAACCACCUUGCAAGAAGCGUGGUCGCAUACAGGAUUUCCAUCCAAACAUAAUCGAGCUGUUCGCGGCUUCCCGCCUGCUCCAGGCCCCACAAGAUUGACGCCAGGAUAGCCCACACAGCUCUCUGUCACCAGUAUCCUUGGCUGGGAGUGAUGAGCCUGACAUCCACACAGUCGAAGUGGCACAAAUCCUCCACAAGCUCACGGAGGUGAAGACUUACCUAGCAAACAAAAUCUCACACAACUAGAAGGAGGUGAAGGCAGAGAUACAGGCCUUAGGAGCUUGCACGUCCAACCUCGAACACAGAGUAGAAUCUGUGGUACAGGUUCAAAACACUGUAGUAUCACAUGCUGAACUUAUGGUCCAGCAGAUAGACCAACUGGAGAUGCAAGUAGAAGAUUUGUCAAACCGCUCCAGGCACAAUAAUUUGCACGUCAGGGGUCUUCUGGUGUCGUCUCAUGAGGGGCCAUUAGCCUAAAAGAUGGAGGAGUAAUAAACACCUGUUACCCGAUAUCCAUGAUGACAGAUGGGCCCACAGAGCAAUGCGAACCAGGAGACUGGAAGGUGCAGUGCCCAGCGACAUCAUCUGCUUUCACCAAUACUCCACUAGAGAAGCAUUUGUACAGCAGAGAUAAUGUCCUGCAAUACAAAGAUGCAGAACUGGCUAUUUACCAAGAUCUCUCACCGCCAAUCCUGCAAUGACGCAAAGACUGGAAACAGAUGGCUGAUCUCUUGCGCAAACAUGAGGUCAAAACCCACACCUAACUGCCAGGAGCUGACCCUCUAUUCCAUCCCCAGACCAAAGCGCCCGAUACCGGUGUUCCUUCCCUAUAAAUGGCAGGAGGCCAGGGCCAGCGGGGGCCGCAACACUUCAAAAUAAAGCCACAAGUUUUAUGGUCAUCGUUAUGGGCAUGCGGUAAGAUUAGAAUUGACCAAUCCCCAGUUACUGCACUAUUACGUUUAAAUUGGCCAGACCUGUCAUCUAUACAAUUCUUUCUGACUACUCAUUCUUUUGUGGCUCUAAAGAUUCUGGCUGCAAGAAACUUGAAACAGCCUAUCGAAAUUGGUUAUACCCAAUGGAAAAACCAGAUGACCUUGCAAAUUGGUAAUGAAAUGGGUUCCUAUUGGAGGAAAGCCAAUACAAAAAAAUACCUAUUAGGACAAAAAUGUUUAGAUUUACUCGGGACUGUUAUAUAAAUUUGAGUAAUUCAUGCACUUUAGAGAUACUAAUAUUAUAAAAGAAUAGAAGCAAAAGAGGUAACAAUCACUGUUUCAGUCCUGCACUUUUCCCACAUUUGUUUCAGAAUGUUUGUAAUUUUGUAAAGUUUGUAAUAUGUAUAUGAUCUUUUUAUGAAUGAGUAUGUGAUUUGAAUAUGUGUUUUAUCCAAAUAUAUAUUUGCACUAAUGAAAACACAAUAAAGAUUUAUAAAAAAAAAAAAAAAGUUUUAUGGUCGUCACCGACAAAGGUUGCACAGUAUUCCACAGCGUUAGGGCGCCGUCAUACUGGAACUCAGCUAAGUUGUUACCCAACCGGGGGUGCUGGGACUCUGGGGUCGGGGGUGAGGGGUGGGGUUGUUGGAGGGAACUAAAGCAUAACCUAGAGCCAAGGCAGAGGCAUAGUGACACCACCUGUCUAAGUAUUAUGCACUCAUUUAUUUUAUGUUGCUUGUGUAUAUAGUUACCUUUUUAUAUAAUUUUGGUGGGUAUUUGUAUGCUGCUCAGAUGGGGGAGGGAUAGCAAAGCUCCCGUGGUCUAAAAAGAAAAAGGGCCAGGUGACAUGGAAGCAGCUCUGGAGGAAACACCGCAGCGUUAACACAUGGGAGUUACCUGGGGAACGAGAUUGGGGUAAGAAGGGCUUACUCUUUCAAUUGGACAUGGAAACUAAACACUAGCCUCCUUAAGAAUGAAGAGAUAUGCAAAACCAUGAGCACGGUUAUUAAUGACUAUUUCACACACAAUAUCUUGCAAGAGGUGGACCCAGUAGCAAUCUGGGCAACCCACGAGUCAGUCUUAAGGGGACACUUCAUUAAAGUGGCAAUGCACAAAAAGAAACAUACAACCCAACUUUUAUUGGAGCUACAGGCUGCUAUAAGAAAAGCUGAACAGCAACAUAAAAAUAACCCCACGGUAGAUAAACUGACAGAUAAACUGACAGAGCUGAGCACCCUGUGGCACUUGAUCAGGGAAUUAUCCCUGGAGGGUGUGGCACGGUACAUCCAAUGGUCCAGGUUUCUGAGAAAUAUACAAUACAAGCUUUAUGGGCACUCCUGGCAUGUGCAGAGAACGGACUGACUUGAACCGAGCAGAAAUUACACAAUAUGAUAUACAUGGCAGCCCGUAGGGCAUUGGCCCAGAAGUGGAGGUGUCCUCUCUCACAUUGGUGACAACCAAAAUCAGGGAUAGCUACCUAAUGGAUAAGCUAACCUCAAUGGUCCAUAACACCACUAAAACGUUCCACAAGAUAUGGAAACUCUGGGAACACAUAGAGGAGGUGGAAGGUUAACCUGGUACAUGGACCUUGGGGGGGGGUAGAAAUGUAUGAGCCUUUCCUGUGCCAUGGGUAUGUUUAAUUGUUUUAUUAAAAAAAAAAAAAAAAGAUUGAUUGUUGCAUAAUUGCAAUAUGUACGUCAUACAUGUGUCCUGUGCACAUUAGACUAAGCAUAGCACAGAUUAUGUAAACAGCUUAAACAGCUACAUGUUUAACUAUUGUUCAGGAAACAGCAGAUGUACCGGAUUGACAUGUAACCGAAAGCACUAUUUAUAUUGCACUUUUUACUGUACUCUGUUUACCCACAUGUGAACGUACAACUGAUCUUUUGCAAAAUAAAGAAUAAAAAAAAAUAGAAUAGACUCAAGGUGCUCGACCCACCAUUCAAUUUGCGUGAAUGCAAAGUGCUUAUGGUGCUUAGCCUGACCUUUAUCGUAUCGAAAUAUGUCAUUCAUGUACUGGCUUAAAGUGAACCUGUGAUGACAGACUCACUUUAAAUAGUGGCUACAUGGAUUAACACGUGAGCUAUAAAUCUAACACCUAUUCAUCACUGUAUUCUACUACAAUAAAUGUAUUUUUAAAAUUCUAUAAAUGCCAUUUCUAAAUAUAUGUACACACAGAUGGCAAUUAAAGCACACCGGUUAAACUUUUAAAGUUAUUAUACACCUUAUUACAAAGUCAUAUAUUUUAGUAUCUAAUUCAUUACCCAUUAAAAUCAAAUUUGCUAGUUUAAUCCAAUUUAAUCAAUAUAUAGCACAUAAUACCCACUGUAAUAACCAUGAUUAAGGAGAUAGUGGCAGUGUGCAGGGCACUUCAAAUUCAAGGGCACACAGACUGCUAAAGCGGUAGUUGGCGCUAAUCAUUUUGAUUUUAUGCAAGCUUGACUUGUAUUAUCUGUAAUAAAGUUUUUAAAUUGGUUUCAUACAAGGUAGUAUUUCUGGUUUUCUAUGCCCAUUGCAGGUUUAAAGGGCCAUCUGCAACAACAAGGGGCAGACUUUUCAAUGUGCCUUACAGCUAUUGGAGUGGCACGAUUCUAUGAAUUGGAAGGAUCAGAUACCCUUUUUUUAGACAACAUUUUUCAAGUGAAUCGAAGGUGGACCAUUUAACAGCUGAUAGGUAGAUCUUUUUUUUUUUUUUAGCUAUAUUAUUUUUAUAGCAAUGCCAGUUUUAUAUUAAAUUUUUUUCUUUCUCCUUCUUUGAUUUGAUCUGAUUGUAACUUUUUAUUGCACACCCAAUUUCUAUUGCAUGUUUACAAGAUAAGUAGGACAUAUAUUAUAAUUUAGCACAGUUUAUCAUUUCUAUUGAUGUAUAAAACAGAAAUUAGUUGAUUUUUCUUUUUACCAACUAUGAACUUGAUUUAAUAUUUUUGGGAUAAACUUUUCAAACGAUUUAUCUACAGAAGUCACCAUUAAGGUCUGCAGGAUUUCUUUUAGAUAAAUCAUUUGAAAAGUUUAUCCAAAAAUACUAAAUCAUUUGAAAAGUUUAUUCAAAAGUAUUAAAUGGAAGCCUAUAUUGCCAUAUUAUUUUUGCUCAAGAUUAAUACACUUGCUCUUCAUAUUAAUAACAGUCUGCUGUUUAGUGGACUUACCUCUUGGGUUUUUAUGAACUAUCAUUUAUAAAUAAUGUUUCUAGUGAAAGCAGAUGUUGAAUAUUUUCUGCAAGAUAAAAAUGAGAGAAUGGAAAGUAGAAAAGUUUAAGUAUAAACAUAAUAAAACUCGUCGACCAUACGACAAGGACAAGCCAUAAUUUUUAUAAAAUGCCAGGUACAGUUGUUAAACUAUCCUCUGUGAGAACAGAAGGACACUUUGGCAGGAGCAUAAAAAUCAUAUUAUAGGUGUCUACUGCAGCCAAGAUUUUAUUCCUAAAUUAUUCAAUGAACUCACAGGGCGCUGGAGAGGUAAGGAACAUCUCAAUGCGUGUUUACUCUUCACUUAAAGGGUUAAAAUGUUGACAUAAGAGAAAAUGUAUGUAAAAUCCAGCUAGCUAAAAGGGUAACGUGGCUGCUACUGUGACUCAAUACAUUUCAUUAGAUUCCAAUAAAGCCAUUUAAUCCAGAAAAAAAAGUAUGCAUAUGGCAGACAUCAUGUUAUUCUGUUCCAUAUGAGAAAAUGUUGAGAAUAGCAAUUUACAGAAAGCAGGAAUAUACAUGCAUGAGAUGAUUUUACAUAUGAAAAGGUGUUAGAAUUAUUAUUUUUAUUUUAAUUAUUAUUAUUAUUAUUGCCAUUUAUAUAGCAUCAACAGAUUAUGUAUCGCUUUACAAUAUUAUGAGAGGGGGGAUUUAACUAUAAAUAGGACAAUUACAAGAAAAGAAGAGGACUCUGCUCAAACGAACCUUCAGUCUACAGGUAUAAAACACUUUAGGACAGGAAAUAGCAAUCAAGGUGGGAGUGAAGCAGAGCUGGAGGAGAGAGUAGAGUGCUGGUAAGGGACAGGUAUGUGAGGUAGAGGUUACUCUUGGAUGCCAUAAACUUUCCUAAAGAGGUGGGUUUUAAGGCACUUUUUAAAUGAUUGAAGACUAGGGGAGAGUCUGAUGGCAGUAGGCAGGCUAUUCCAUAGGAAGGGAGUCGCCGCGAGUAGUCCUGCAAGCGUGAGUUGGCCGUAGGGGUGCAAGCAGCGGACAGGAGGUCACGGGCAGAGUGGAGAGACCGAAAAGGGGCAUACCUAUGGAUCUGUGAAGAGAUAUAAAAGGGGCUACAAUUGUUCAGUGCUUUAUAGGUAUGGGUUAGCACUUUGAAUUGACUCCUAUAGGAUACAUGAAGCCAAUGUAAGGACUGACAGAGGGGUGAGGUGUGAGCGGGCUGACUAGAGAGGAAAAUUAGUCUGGCGGCAGCAUUCAUUACAGCCUGUAGAGGAGCAAUACGGCUUUUGGGAAUACCAAUUAGGAGAGGGUUACAAUAAUUCAUGCCGGAAAUUACAAGCUCCUCAGUAGCAUAUUGCGUAAAAAAAAUUGGCGGAUGCGGGGUAUGUUUUUACGAUGGAAUAUACUGGAUUUGGCAACAUACUGGAUGUAAUGCUCAAAGGUGAGGCCAGAAUCAAUUAUAAAGUGGUUAUAUUUCUUUAUUAUAACUAUAACACAACUGACAAUAAACAGUCUGUUGCCUUUUUCAAAUCUUCAAGUCAAUAACCUGUAACCAAUAAUAUUUCACAAAAUAAAGUGGAGCCAUCAGGAUAAUCUGUACUGCUUUCCAUGAGGCUAUACUAUAUCUGCAAACUUGCCAGGUUUCAUCUGGAGUUAUCAGGUUUUACACCUUAAUUACUUUGGAUGAAACUCAUUCAGACAUCCCAACAUGUAAAAGCUCAUUUCAGGGAGGUGGCUUCAUGAGCAACUGCAUACGCCACGCUCACUCGCACGCGCCCCUACGAACAUGUGUGCCCAAAAAAACGCAAACAGUCACUAAACAUGUACGAACAAUGACAUGAUAUUUUAUUAUGACAGAACACAACUGUGACGGAACUCUGUCAUGGAGUACCAUGCCCACAUGUGCCCACCUACUUGUCCUGUCACAUUGGACCCCCAAGGAUUGUUUCAGGUCCGUCGUAUGUCCGGCCACAGGUCUGUCUAUUUCUAUGGGGGAAGAUAUGUGAUGGAUGGCCAUAUUUGUUUAUCCUAACUGCUUUGUCCCUCCUCCAUCCCCCAUCAGAUUCUUGGGAUUGUGUAUUGUGUUGGAGACCCCAUUUAGGGGUCUGUGCCUGUAAAACCAUGUGUGACAAAAUAAAUAUCAGUUUAUUUUCAGUUGUACUCCCAGAGCUGUCAUGCCAGCUUGUUUUAAGGGUUCCAGAGUGGCUGAAGGAAGGUAUUAAUGGAGGUAACCAGUCGUGUUACCCAGGGUCCGCUACAACAACUAUUUACAUUUUACAACUAGUUAACACACAGACUCAUGCACACACCUUGACACACAGAUACAGACACUGACACACAGAUAUGGACACUGACACAUACACACACUGUAACAUACACAUACUUGCACAUAUACACAGAUACAAACACUGGCACACACACACUCAGAUACACACUGACAUACAGAUACACACACUCAAAUACACACAGAUACACCGAUUGGUAUAUACACACACUUAAAUACAUACAGAUACAUACACUGUCACAUACAUACACACUCACUCAGAUACACACUGAUACACACUCAGAUACACACUGACACACAGAUAUACAAACACUCAGAUACACACUGACAUAUAGAAAAACACACACUCAAAUACACACAGAUACACACGCUGGUACAUAUACACAUGUGGAUACAUACUGAUACACACACUGGCACAUACACUCAGAUACACACUGACACACAGAUACACACACACUCAGAUAUACACUGACACACACACUAGCACAUACACACAAGGUAUAACAAAUUGAUUUACAGCCAUCCUUAGCUUGCCUUGUGUCCUGACUGAGGCUGAUGGAAGUGAGCAUGUACCUGAUCCUCCUUCUCCCUCCCGUGCGGCUAUCUUUUUAGCUGGGAGGGAGUGACAAUCUGUCUAUCACUUCCUCCCAGCUGGCAGAUACUAAACUAAAAGUAUGUAUGAAUGAAGGGGAGCUAUGAUUUGGUAAUCCUUCUCGAAACCUCUGGUAUCUAAAUCAUGUUGCUCUUUGCUACUGAGAUACAGUAUAUAGCGAUAAAACCAAGCCCAUGGAGAAAUCCCUAUUACUCUGUCAUCUUGAGGAUUCCUGACAAAUAUGACAUUUCCCAUUGAUAUCUAUUAAUUCAGUCUCUGCAUUUGCCUGCCAGCCAAUGCAUAGGUAGCUAUUUUUUAUUUGAUAGUACAGUCACACUGACAUGGAGUAAGGUGGAAUCCAUCAAUCUUAGGGCAGCACUGGUACAUGCAAAAGCUUCAGUUUGUGAUUGCUGUUGUUAAUUCCAUCCCUCUUCCAUCACAAGUGAUGCUGAGAGAGUUCUCCACGCUAUAGUAAUAGUGAAGAAUUAUUUAUUGGAAUAAACAUUUAGCAAUAUGAAAAUAAUAUUAAUCUAUUGACAUUUUAAAUUGUUUUAUGAGGUUACAACUAUAUUUACCUUUUUUUCCUUUUUUUUUUUUUUUUAAGAAGGUGUAUUUUUGCUAUAAUUUUAUGACUGCUGCAAGUCAGUUCUCUGAAGUUUAGACAUCUGAAUCUAUUUUUACAUUCUUGAUAACGUUAUUCUCCUGGCAUGGAAUGGUCAUCUACUUCUAUGCGAGAGUCUAAGGUGCAUUGUGGAAAUACACAGAGCUCAUCCUAUGGUCCACAAGCUUUACUGACCACUAACCAAAGAACAUGAAAGAAAUAAAUGUAAUAUAAAACUGGCAAUGCUAUAAAAAAAAUGCUAAAAAAUAAUCCACUUAUCAGCUGUCAAAGGUCCACAUCCGAUUCACUUGAAAAAUGUUGUCCAAUAAAAGAGUCGCUGAAGAGUAUCUGAUCCUUCCAAUUCAGAGAAUCUCGUCACUCCAACGGUCAUAUUUAAGCUUACAAAUUUUUGAUUUGCUUCAAAACUUUGAACAUAUAAUGAUAUCACUGAAUAUUCACACACUCACUCAUUUUAAAUGUUAACAAAAUGAUUCUAUGCAAUCCAAGAAAUAAAAUUAAUAAGUAACAGGGUUUCUAUAUCUAUAUUUUUGUCAAUAAAAGUCACAAUGAAACCUAUUUUUUAUGAUUAUUGUGAAAUGUUAAUAAUGUUGUAAAUACAUUUCCAAUAAUCCAUCUAUUAUUUUUUGCAUACUUUUUAAAACUUUACAGUUAUUCUUCUCCAGGCUAGUAGAAUAAAAUAAAAUAAAGUCAAUUGUGUUGAAGAAUACUCCCUCCAUACUUAUUAAAAUGUAAAUAAUUGCAAAUUAAUAAUUUACAAAGUGAGAUCUACAUAUAUGGUAACAAAAUGUAUUAGUUGCAGAUUCCUUAAAACUUAAACUGGAAAAAUAAAAACUGUAAACUAAGUUAUUGUUCUUUAUGUAUUGAUUAUUUCUGUUUAAAUCGGAUUAUAAGUUGUUCUGCAAGAGAAUUAGUUGGGGAAAUGUAUUAUUUGGUGAUUAUUGAAAUUCAUUUCUAUAUAAUGUUUGAAAGAAACCUGAACAAGUUUGGGCGUCAUAAAUAUUCAUCUGUCUGGCAAGGAAUAUAUUUUAUUAUUAGUACAAUUCCAUUUUUUUUAAUUUAAUCUACUUGUUAAGGUUUGCUAUAUAAUAAGGUAAUAAAGUUGGGGCUUUCAUGAAAAAAUUAUUAGUUGGAGUUCAAACAAUUACUAUCGCCAACCUUUAGUAAAGGAUUUGUUUGUUACGUUCAUCUGUGCUUAGAAUGCCUUUUCAUUGGUUCCAAUCAUGGGUCAUUUCACAGUGUCCCACAAUAGAUAAGAACCAAAAAUAUCAAAUAUGUAUAGACACAAGUUGGGCAAAUCUGUUGACUAGCUACAUGUUAGCAAAUAGCAUACAAAUAGGGUUCUUUAAAACAUAGAAUGGUUUUAUCAGAAAAUAAACACCGGCUUGAUAAAUGAGCAUUAAAUGAAAAUUAAUCUAACAAAUAUAAAACUUUCUCAAAACCAAUGUUUUAAAAAUGUGCACAAUAUUAUAUGUUUACAUUUAUGUAUUGUUGUUGAGUCAGCCUUCAAAAUAUAAUUUAAAAAAAACACUUCAAAUGUAUGCUAGCUAUUUAAAUUCAUUUGUAUGUAAUUUUGUGACAAAAAAAAAUAAGAUUAAGGGGUUUAGAUUUUGUGAUAAUUUUUCCCCAUAGGCUCCCCAUAUUGGGUAAAAAAACAACCUUAUUACAGUGCUGGGACUAUUUAUUAUAGUAUAGGACAAAAUGGUGAUGUUUAUUAUAUGCACUACAAUAAUCCUUGACUGUCAUUAACUAAAUAAAAUAAACAUUAUGAUAAACAUGGUUAAUCUACUGUACCAUACUUGGUAUCUAAUAUAAAUACUUAAAUAAAAAUACAAAAAUAAAAAAUAAUAUAUUCGAUAUUUCAGCAGAUUAAAUACAUAAUCAUAAUUAGCCAAACGGUGUCAGUAAUUUUUCCAAAUCAGCUAUUUCAGCUUCACUUUUGCUAUUUUGAUUUAAUUUUCUAUAAUUCAGAGUUUAAUGAAUAUCUGUGAUGGAAAUGUGCCUUUGUUACUAUAGACUAAAAGCAUAAAAACCUAUGGACUUCAAAACUCAUAUAGUAUAUAAAAGUAACGGCUUGAGCUGUAUUAACUAAACAGUCAGGGCUAUUUACUAAAAUGUGAAUUGUCUAGAAUUAAAAAAUACAUUAAAAAUAAAUUUCAAAAUUCAGGCCAAAAUACAUUAACCGAAAGAAAAUGAAAAGCUGUCUUGAAGGAAUUUUCCAAUUAGGACAUUUUGGUCUAAUUUUUCUUUUUAUUUCACUUUUCCAUUCACUGUGAAUUCCCAACCAUUUUGCACUUAAGUAAUACACUUAAGUGGGUUUACUUAGGUGAAAAAUUGAAAGUUUUAGUAUCAUAUUAACUUUUUCUGAGUCAGUUAUUAUACCUUAAAUUCUGAAAUUCAUUAUUCAACUCACCAAAUCUCCCUCAUUUAGUGAAGUCACUUAGAAAAUAUAUAACAAGUUCAACAGAAUUAAUACAAAAUGUUGUGAUUAUUUAGUGUGAGUUGCAAGAGCACAUUUUUAAAGUAAGUUUCCCUCAUUCAACUGACUUAACAGAUUAUAAACUUAUAAAUAAAAAAAACAAGAAACAUUUUUCCUGUCAACCUAAAAUUAGGUUUUGUCUUCGCAGAGCCAGACACUUCCUCCGGGUAUAGUAUCACUAAGCUUCCAAAUUAUUUUCCAAUUCUGAGAGCAGUUUAGAGCAGUAACACUACAAAGUCAAUCCAACCAGAACAAUAUCAGAGUUUCUUUAAAGAACCUUUUGGGAUCAGACAAACCUGUGAAUCUUCAACAGUAGAACAACAAUCAAGUUUCACUAUCCUGAAGUACCCUCAGUAGUAUAACACCAGAUCAAAAAUGCAAAACAAGUUCAAAGAAAAAAAAACAAAAAAAACAUUAAUUUACAUAGAAAUACAUUUAUUUUCCCCAAAUAAUAUUUAUGCGUUUUUUUUUCCCCCUGACAUAAAAGACAUGAUUACCAUAAUACUUUUAUUUUCUAUUUUAUUUUUGUUCCCAUCGCUUGGAAGCGCGAUUUGAACCAUCUGAAAUCGCAAGCGUUUAGGAAAAGGUGAACAGUUCUACUGCUUUUGACAUUAAAACAAAUUUCAACUUUUUUAUUUGCAUCAACUUAACUGUUCCUUGAGGAAUAUUAUUCUUCUGAGUGAUUAUAGUCUACAGAGGAAUCGCUUAAUUAACAUUACAAUAAUAUGCACAUCACCGCUCCUUCUCCUAUCACAUAUUAAAAAUUCAAGCCAAUAACAUCGUCUGACGUUAGAACGGAAAGGUUAAACAUAGACCGUAAUGCCAUAAAAUUGCCUGCAGAUGAUUACUGCAUCUUUUCAGAUGAACUAAACAAUCUGUCAUGCUCCCUUGCUGAUAUAAAAGUGCAAGACAUUGUUACAUUAAUGAUAAUAGCACAAGGGGAAAAAAAAAUUAUAUAUAGGUAUAUAAAAGAUUUCUUGCCUGAAAUUUGACCUUUCCAAGUUUAUCCCAGCAGCAGAUACAUUGGAGUCUAAUUACUGUUCAAUAUUCUUUGCCUCCAAGAACAUUAAUAAAAAUAAAAGACACGAACAGACAUCAACACAUCUGAUUUAG